CCAGAGUCUGCUGUUCUCAGGGUGGCUUCACCCAGGACGCCGUCCAUUCUACAUACAGUCUAUGGAUAAGACCGGGAAGUAUGUAUUUUUUUUGUCUCAUGUGAAUAUACUUUGUUUCUUGGGGCUUUAUUUUAUGUAUACAAUGUUAAUAUGAUUCUUUUGUGUAUUUAUAUGUUCAGGAUGACCACUUCAAACAAACUUGAGCACGUGAGGAAAAAAUGUCACCUCGGGUCCUCUCAGUAGAGCGGGUCCUCGCAGUGGAGGUUUGAAGCCAGACCCCUCUCCCUUGCAUCUGCUGUGUAUGUGGUCAUGUAAAUGGGGACCCAUGUUCAGGUAAGCCUGAAAACAUGCACCUGAAUCUCUAACCCUUAGGCCAAGAUUUGCAAAUGCUGGAUCUAGUAGUUCUUUAGUUCGUUUGUUUUCUAAUUCCCUGCUAAUAGGUAAAUAAAGGACUUGUCAAACACUCAGGAUUUGUGGCUCUUUAUCAGAUUUAUUAUGACAAAGACUCAGCACUGCUUAGAUUAGAGGGAUUUCAUUUUGGGGGCACAACGUAGGGAGGGAGGAACAGUUUAUUUUUCUCAGAAGUACUCUAAACUCUGACUUACCAUUACCAGAUGGCCAAAGUAAAAAAGGCGUGAGACUUUACUUUCACGGAAAGCAGUUAUAAUAUUUCCAGCACAAUUUGGUCUAGUUUUGGUCAAAUCAGGGAAACUAAAAACACCUAAUGUGAUUAAGAGGUUCAUCCUGAUGACUGCAAAUACAAUCAUCUGAUUAAUUAUCUGAUGUCAGGGGACCAUACAAUCAUGAAAUCAUUCAAGUCAAAUCUGCUGAUGUUACCUAUCAUUGUCAGGACUUGCUGUAUACAACAAGUAUUAAUAUCUGACAACGAUCAGCUGACCAGCACUUAUUCCUGCUGCCCAUUUGUGCUCAUUUCUAGUGCCUGCUCAUAUUUUUAUCCAUAUUUUCUUCCUUUUUCUGUCUCUUUGAUUGUAUGCCUGAGGAAUGUGUAUUUUUGAAAAUGGAUGUCAGCAAGAGGGACGUCUGGAUUUAAUAGAGAUUCAUUACUUUGAUUGAUGCUGCAAGAAUCUGCCACUCUCUGCAGACAUUAGAAGAUUCAGCUACAUGCUUUAUGGUUUAUAAAAACCUCAAAGGAAACCUCAAGUCCCUUUGUAGAACUCCCUGGCGCUUUCUCUUGUCUUUCAACUUGAUCUUGACAAAUGGACCAGAAUAGGAUUUUUUUUCCCCCUGCAAAUAAAGUUAGUGGGAAGGCUUUCUGGAAUACUUUCUCUGCUUUUAUUGGCUAUGUUGUACUCAGAGGCAUGAUCGAUAGGAUCAAUAUUGUAAAAGGGAUAUAUUUGGGUCUUUAAUCAUCUGAGAGAUGCGUGAGUUGCAUACAAGACCUGUAGAGGCAGACGUAAGUGAAGUAUCGCUGACUGAUUAUUGGAAUGAUUUGUGUUUGGGUAAGUUUGUUACCAAACGCGGUAAUCGAGCUGUUAAUGAAGCAGACAUGAGGUUGCAGAAAGAGAAAAAAGAAAACCCCAGAACGAGGGUUUAAUUUGUCAGCUUUGUUUUUCAAACAUGCGGCAGUUUACUUUCAUAAAUCUGAACCCCUUUGCCCGUGGUGGUGCUUUGUAUGCAGAGGAUUUAAUAACAACAUACGCUUUUUGCUUUGGUAAGGCUCUCUGAGCAAUACUGCUCUAUUCCAAAAACAAUUUAGAAUUAAUGAAAUGGCUUACUGUGGGUUCCAUGCAUAUAGUUCAGGGGCGGAAUAACAGAGUGAGUAGUUUUUCACAUGGGUACCAUAAUAGUGCAACCCUCAGGGCUGACAGUGAGUCAUAACACUUCCUGAAUUACAUAUCAUGGGCAGGAAAUUCCGGACACCUGAAAAAGGAAGGAGUCUCAGAAAGAGCACCCCACAGAAAAUCAUUUCUCAUUUGCUAUCAUUUUCUUUUCUCUCGCUGUUCAGUUCGCUCAGACAGAUUCAGGAGGACGGUGCAGAGAGGGCCGGUUAAGAGCCAGGGUGAUAAUUUAUACUCAGGAUGAAAAAGUUACUAUUUUCUCUUCUACUGGGGGAAACGGGCCCACCCAUUCGAACUCUCUAGACACUUUUUCAUGGGGUAAAUAAAAUGAACGAUAUUCACAGGAGUAUUAAAUGCAGAUCAGGACACUUACAAGCAGAUUACAGGAAAACAGAUCAAAACUUAUUAAGCUAGCUGGUUAAAACAAGCUCCUGUAUGCUACUGUUUUUUUUCUUGUGAAAAAUAUGUCAAAGUUUAAAUGGAAAAAUGUUACAAAUUAAGAUUUUAUCAACCAAGUCUACAAGGUUAUAGAGAUUUUAAGUGGUUUCCAGAUUUCCAGCUCCUUUUUUUGGUCUAAAAGUUGACAGCUUCAAAGGCGCCAACCACUGCCUGAACAGACACACACUGCCUGAACAGACACACACUGCCUGGCAUGACUGUUCCUCUACACAAGCAUGCACGCGCACAAUGUACUCUGCAUGAAACAUAAAUACAGCCACAUUAUGAACUACAAUCACAGCCAAAAAACAACACAUACAAAAACACACACUGAGAAACUACUGCUGGGGGCAAAGUGAUAUUCUCUACACCAAACAUGCAAAACACACAGCUGCAGUUACGACUGCUUUCUCUGCCGGAAUAUACCGGCAACACUGAACGCUGAUAAAUGAUUCAUGGCAUUUCCAUUCUUUCCAUGAGCUAUCUGGCUUGGUUGUAAAAACUGUUGUCUUUGUUGUACUCCGACAGUGGGCACACAAAUGCUCACAGAGUGCAUACUGCAAUUGGACUAUAAAAACUGUGCAAAUGGUACAGCCAGAUGCUGCCAAUAAUGAGGAUUCUGCCUUUUGUUUAAAAUCACUGUUGGUCAAAAAAAAAAUGGAUGCAUGUUCUUGUCGUUUUGUUUUCAGCCAAAAAUGUAGUCAGUGACAGGGUGAAGACUCAAAUCAGCCACCUGUACACAGCUGUUAAAACAGCUAAAUGCAUGUUAAGGUGAGAAGAGAGACAGACAAUAUCCUCUGCUUCAAGGGAUCAACCCUGUUAGUCCUGUUAGUGACUCCUUUCUGCAGCAGUGACAACAAAACCACCAGAGUAUCAUUAAUAAAAGUAUUGCUCAUCCUCCAUUCAGUGGAAGAGUAGCAGAUUUGAUUGUUUGUUUGUCUGAUGUCAGGUGUUUAAAAAGUAAAUUUCCAAGAUUGUAAAGCCCAAAUUCACGCCUCCUGAGGACAAGUGUUGCAAAUUAGCACGUGCUAAAACACUCAAACAAUGCAUCUGGUUUGUCCAGAGUAAUUGUGAUGUCCACAUCAAAUAAACAAUACAUGAAUAAAUUCAUCUGCUUAACUUGUUUAUUUUCCAGAAGUGUGUAUUGAAUAAUUGCCUCACAAAUUAUAACACUUGUUAAAGUCGUUUUUCAGUUCUGACUAAUGCAAGAUUCUCCUCUAAUGGCUUUUCUGCCACAACUCCUCUGGGUAAAGUUUUCACCAUUUUCACUAACUUUUAAUCUGACAGCACAAGCAGGUCAAACCUCAGCAUCCAUUAGCUGAGUCAUGAUGAAAAACCUACAAAAUAUUCAUCAGCUUUAUGGUGCUUUAAGUGGUUUAGCAAGAAACAUAAAACAUAAGCUUGAGCUAGGCUAGGAAGGUGACAGUGAUUAGUUUUUGUAGUGCUAUAUAAUGCCCAUCAUUGAUCCACAUAAAACAUUCUGUUUUUAAUUUACUCUGGUAUUUUCGGUUCAUGUCAAAUGAUCCUCUGAGGAUUUUCUAAAUAAACUUGUACAAAACGGUCAUGGCUGGUAGUUCCUAGUUGAAUUCAAGAGUAAAACACAGGCUGUAAGGAAGCUUGUGUAGCUGUUUUCACAAGUGACCUAUGUAUAAAGUAGGGCUGUCAAAGCUGACAUCAUAAUAUCCAGUUAACACUUGCCAUUUUUUUUUAUGUAUUAAGUAUUGUAUUAAGAACAAGGAGCAUGCAAACCUCCUUGAAAUUAAAUGGAUAAAAAAAUAGUCUUUUGAGUGACAAAUCUGGCUCCAAAACACUGCCGGACAGUUCUCUAUAAGUGCUAUUGCAGUUAAUUGUGAGUAAAACCCCAUGAGCAAUCAUUCAAUUAGUUGUGAUAAAACAUUUCAUUGAUAAACGGCUGUAGUAUAAAGUGAUUUACAACAGAUGUUGUAUUAUUAAAGUUUGUGUUACAGUAAAUGUAGUGUAGAGAUUAAGAAAAUUAAUAGAUAAAUAAAUAGGUGCUCCUUUCACUCAUAUUUACGGUAAGAAAUGAAACUCGUGAGUCAUAUGUACAUAUACUGGUUAUUAAACAGGAUCCAUGUGGAUGCCAUAUUUGUAUUAAUACAAAGAUAAAAACGCAACAGUUAGCUAGCCACUAAUGCUGUGUUCGAGUCACCUCAGAAGUCAGAUAUCAAAGCUGGGAAUGGUGUCACACCCAAGUUACCAGCAUUUCAGUUACCAAGUCAGAAAAAAGCUAAAUCAGAGGCGGAAACAAGAUGGCUACAUCCACAAAAGCAAGGACAAGGCAAGCGCUAAAGUAACUUUCGUAGAUGUAGCCAUCUUGUUUCCACUUCCGAUUUUGCUUUCUUCCAACUUGUUAACUGAAACACUGGUAAGUCGGGUGUGACAUCAUUCCCAGUUUGGACCUCUGACUUCCAAGGUGACUCGAAUGCAGCAUAAAUACUCUGACUUGAUGCUCAUUGGUGAUUAUCAUCGGGGUUCACAAGAGUUGAUCAGGAUGAAAUCAGAAUAAAAGAACAACACUGAGGGACAGCAAAGGCGGGUGAAUUACUGAUUGUGCCAAAUGAUGUGAAAAUAAGCAUUUAAACCGUGAUGAAAACAAACAUCUUUUUCUUUUAUACACAAAGUGCUUUACAAAAACAAGAAACCAAGUCAUACCUCAGCUAACAUCAUGCUGGUUCAUUUCUGCAGAUUAGCGUGCCAAAGUUUAUAUUAGCAGGAAGCACAAUGGUGUCCCAGCGACAUCCUACAGAGCUGCUGACUGCAUGACUCACUUCUGAAUACAUUUGAUAUUUUUGUUUUAUAUGGCAGAAAAUAGAGCCAGCAUGUUGGUGGAUCGGUUGUCGCUCCCACCUCACUCGCAGAAAUGUUCCUGGCAUGCUCGUGUUGUGCCGGUUUCCUUCCUUCAGGUGUUUUGGCUCAUUCCCACAGUCCAGAUACACGGUCAUAAGGCUAACUGUGUUGCUGCUAGAAUAUGAGUGGGAAUAAUCGUCAAUUUCUGUGGGUCAGCCCUCUGAUUGACUCUUUCCAGAAUGCACCAUGCCUCUUGUCGAGUGAAAGGUUUAACUCUGAAAAGAGAGCUAGAGAGAUGCAGUUGGUGAUUUUGUAAUUUGAUUACCAAAGGGUUACAAAGUCAUAGAGGGUUUUUAAAAUUAUACUCACAGUUGAAGCGCUUGUAGAAACGUCGUUUGUCUGAGUGCAAACAGCACAUUUUAUGAUAUUUUGUCAGGAAACAACGUGAUUCCCAUCCCUUGAAGCAAAGCUGUGGGUGACUGUUUUUCUGCUAAAUCAUAUGACUGACUCCCCUCACAUGGCCUAAAACACAGUCAUACAACUCCACGUGUGUGUGUGUAUGUGCACACACACUCACACAUUCAGAUACACACCUCCAAUGUCACAAGUGCAGAGCAGGGCGCCCCAAGCACUAAGAGGGGGAGCUUAGGGCCCUCUAUGAGCAACAGAGCACAACGGACAGAGAGAGAGAUAGAAGGGGGAGAGAGAGGAGCGGGGAGAGAGAGAGGGGACGAGGGGCAGCGCUCUGAGCCACAGUGCAGUCACAAGCAACGAGUGAUGAGAGAGGACAAGGUCACAGAUCAUAGACGAGGGAGAUAUGGGCAGUCAUGUAUGGCAACAUACCUCCUCACUACGACUCCACCAGAACAGAAAAUAGAGCACAUAAGCUGAACCCUGUGACACAUCUGUGCACAUGCUCACAGCUCCGCAUUUAUGAAAAAAGAUUUCGCUUGUACCCAAAAGACAAAAACAACCCACACAAAAUUAAGCGGUUUGAUUUAUUCAUCUAUUUAUGCUCAGGGCACAAAACCUUUGUUGAUAUAACAUGCUAAUUUCUGCAUGCUAAUAUUCAAGCUAUUCAGGCUUUUGUUAGCUUAUCGCCUCAUAUGCUAUGCUCUUUUUAUUUGUAACAGAAGAGCACUCUCUCAAAGAGUUCUGCUUUCAGAUCCGUAUGCCUUAACCUCACUGGUGCCCCCGACAGUCAAUAGUAAUAUCACAUGAGCUGACCUGAGUACAGGGCCUAGAGGCAGUUUGUUAAGCUGGUUCCCUGGUGAGUGCUUUGCAGACGGGUGUUGCCCAGAGUUGAAGUCUAUUAGUUCGAGUUUAUUUACAGCCAAAUGCCCAGAGACCCGCCUCUGUAAUGUUGUUUGGGGGAAAAUAAGAGCUGAAAUUGAAUGAAAAGCAUCACACCACAUGCAUAAUUCAUAGAUAUCAUUAUCAAGCGCAUGCAGACGCACAGAUCAGCGAACACAUAAAAAGCACAGAGAACACAUACUCGAGAAUACAAACGGGCGAAAACGUACGCACACAGGUCAUUAUGUGUGCUUAUUAUAAGGCCUUUUCAGUCAUUUAUCCUGGUGCUGAACUCGGGCCAAUUUUCCCAGCAUGGGUCCUACUUAAGCAUAAUAACACAACAGCAACAUCACAGCAAGAGUUGAGGACGACUCUCGGACCAUGUAAGCGAAAAAGGAAGAACAAUAAAAGCUCAUAGACUGUGUUUCCAAACUAGCACCAGUAAAACAGGUUCUCGGCACUUUCCCGGGAGAGGAUCCUAUUGCAUUUAAACAGGGUAUCUUGCCGAGCACGGCUGACAAUGUGUUUGAAGUAUUUGAGUGUGCGUCUGUAUGUACAAAGGAAUAGAGCAAUUGAGGUAGAGAGAAUCAUGACGAAGGGUAAUGAGAAAGGCGAGAUGAAGGCAGGAAAUUAGAAAGUGUGACAGAUACAGUGAGAGGCUUGGAGGAAAAAAAUAAAAAAGGAGCGGGAGGUGGAAAAAAUGUAUUUUCUCUCUGUAUUUGGCAGCAUUGUACCUCGUCUACCUCUCGUGGGGCCCUUUGACCUUAGACUCUCUCUGAUGUACUUUUGCAAACCUUAGUUAAGCAGCUCACGGAGCCCCUGCACACACACACACACACACACACACACACACACUCAGUCGGGUUGUUUUAGAACAAAUUGGCUUUAAUACUCUGAUGUAUGCAUGCACACAUUUGCACACACAUGCCACACACAUUUUUGGACUGCCAUUAAGAGUGCUUACUGAAGCAGUACCCUGGUGAGGAGAGAAUUGAGCAGGAUUCUCCAGUGAAUAGUCAGAGAUUCUGGUUUCAUUCAGGAGACAAAUGAAGCGUGAGCAGUCUGAAGGGCGCACACCCACACUUAAAACACACGUACACACAUUUAGUCCUGCGCCGAGCAUAUAGACACUCGCACAGUCCUCGCGAAGCAGGAUGUUUACACACAUACACACACACACACCGCGGCUAGUGCUCAGUGCACUGUGACACCCAGCGAAAGGAUGGAGCUUCAGAGCACUUCUUAAUUAUUGUGAGGCAGCCAGCUGUGUUAGCCAGGGCAAGAGAGGAAGAAAGACAAGGCGAGAGCACGGGCCUGACAUGAUCUAACAUGUGCACACACACACACGCAGACCCACACACACACACACACGGAACCUGCCCGCAUCUUGAAGAUGAACAGUGGUUGUUAAGUCUCUCAAACUCCAGCAGAAAGCGCUCACUGAUUGAUUGGGAAUAUACUUCACACACACUUCAGGCUGGUAAAAUAACAGCUAAGGGAGCGAGAGCGGAAGGAGAAAACUCCAGAAAGGAGGAGGUAUUAAAAAGAGAUGAGAGAUGAAAGUGAAUGGAGAUGGCUCUCUAAUGCUUUUCCUCCUUCCCUCCUGAGAUCUGUGAGCAAGUGUGUGUGUGUGUGUGUGUGUGUGUGUGUGUACUUCUGUGAGUGCGCAAAGAGUAUAGAGAGCUCUGUGAAAGAUGAAGAGCAUUGUUUGAGACGUGCUCUUGUUAUGUUGUGCGCCGUAUUCGUAGACUUCUCACACUCACUGAAACUCCCACUGCUCUUUCAACCUAAUUGAAGCCUGCUCGCUGAGACGCCGUGACGUGUGAUGUGAUCAAAGGUUAGCGCACAGAGGAGGAAUGAUGUGUAAUUUUCAAAUCGAUUCAAUAUUGUGUUAUUUCUCAUCUUUACAGUUUCAUCAGCGUCAAAGAAAGUUUAAAACAAGUGUAUGAAGUUGUGCUGAGGCUGCAGGCGGUAAAUAAGAGAUCUAGUGUGGUUGGCAGGGAUCUUUUUAUACUUCUGAUGCGUCAUUUUUUUUCACAGCGUACUCUGGAAUCAAUUAUAUACACAGAGUUUAUUUUCAUUUUAGCUCUCCCCGGGGGCCAUUCGCUUGCCGAACAAUAAGCAAGAUGGCACAAGUACCUGCCAACCUCUUCGAACACUUUAAACAAGGAUCAACACAAAAGGCAAACAAUAAAGUGGGGGAAUUGCUCCUUUAGUAGAUCCUUAAUGAAGAAAAGCAGUUUUAUUUCAACAAGUCAUUCAUUCAGCCUCCUUUUUUUAAGAGCUAACCUCAGCUGUGCGAGACCUUAGUGGACACUUUCGAAUAAAUCAGUGCACACAUAAUAAAGCUGUCUCAUCCAUCCUGAACUCAGGGUAUAUGUUUGUGUGUGUGUGUAUGUGGAUGUAUGUGUGUGAAGUUGCAGGUAAAAGCUCAACCAGCCUGUCUGAGAAAGUGAAAGAAACAGAAAGAAAGCAAGACAGUUAGAGACAGAGAGAGAGAGAAUCCCCCCCGGCUCCAACAAACCUUUAUCCUCCAUGCUUUAUCCUCAAAUAGUGCUGUUCUCAAAGUUCAAACACCUGGCAGUGAUUCUUGCCUUCUGAUUUAUUCCUCCUCCAUAUUUCCACCUUGGCCCAAUCCUCUGUUCUCUCCCCUGUGUUAUCUUUCUUCCCUUCCUUCCUCUUCUGAUUAUUUUUUCCUUAAAGCUUUUUCCUUUCCUUUAGUCUAAAUCACACUUCGUUAACAGUCUCUUUGAUAAACCAUGUAAAUAAGUCCAGUUUCGGUCUCAUUUUGCUCUAAACUGAAGCCCUUCUGCCUUUUAAUUAUUCACUUUUAUGAAAACUAAACAUUGUUUUAAUGUGCUAUUGAAGCUAGCACCUGUUAAUCAAGAUACAGCAGUUGAAGUGGGAGACCGAAGCAUAUAUUUACACCUGUGUACACACACACACACAUUCACACCCUCACACUCGUGGAUGUUUGUGGUUAGAAAUGCACAAACACAAACACAAGAUGAAGGAACGAGUGGCAGAGCCUUGGGGUGGCCUGGAGCUGUUUCCCAAUCAACGCCACUGGGGAGAACAAGAGAGACCUUCAGUUUCUACACUGGGAACUCUGAGUGGGCUUCAGACGAACACACACAUACACACCUACACAUACACACACACUUACACACGAGCACCGAGAUGCAUACAUCCGCCCACGGAUAGUCUCCUCUUCAGAGGAACACAUUUAAAACCAUAUGACAUGUGAGGGCGUCUCUGAUCAAACUGGCGACAGUCUGACGUGACUCAUGCACGUACACAGAAACAGUCUCUGAAUUCCUGUUUGAAAUAUACAGAUUUGCAUUACACACCGCGCACACAGGCUUGGAGGGGAAAGAAAAAUGAUUAUAUUUUCAAACGAAAUCUUCUCUCAUUUAUCUGCUCUGUUUUUGACAUUGGGAUUUUAAAGAAAGUCGUCUUUACUGACAAUUAAAUCAAAAUCCUGCUUUACUGAAAGGUGUUGAACCCCGGUACUUAACAGCCCAGUGUGAUGGCCUGAACACAGACAGACGUCAAUCAUUGAGAAUUAACUUAUUUAGAGUCUUAGUCAUGCAGCUUAGCCUUCAAAGAGCUAUACUGUUGUAACCCGACAGACUGUUUUUACUACACAUCCAUCGUAAGAGAAAUAUUUCACAUCCAUCUGGGCAGCACCCUGCAGAUGGUGUUUGGGGAAGGUAGAGCCUCUCCAAAACCAUCAAAACGAAGAAGCUCUGAGGGUGAUGCACAAAUGUUCCAUCUUGUCAUGUUCAUUACAGGCCAAACGGAGCAGCAAAACAUAUGAUGUGGCAGGUGUGUGCUGCUACCAUGGAGUAAACUACAGAAUUAACUAUAAUACAAGUUCAACAGGUACUUGUCCUAUAGGUUGGCUGUAAGCUUUGAAUAUUUCAGUCCAAAGACAAUUCUCAAACAUGGACUUAAUUAACAUAGCAUCUGCAUAUGACAUAUAAAGUAACACUCUCUAUCAAGCUGCAGUAAUAAACCUCUGCAGUGAGCGUAUUUCACCAGCUCUGAUAUAACUGCUGUUAUUGUUGCAUCCAUGGUAAUCUCAUUGUUUACAGGUAUGCAGCUGCCUCUUUCUGCCACAACUUAACAUGCCAUUUAUCACUUCUUACUCCUCAUAUCACACUAAUUAGCCCGCUUUUCAAGGUACAGAAUUUUACUGUGACAAAACAGGGAAGUAAUACAUUUGUUUUUGUUAGAGAUUAAAUGACAUUUUACUGAAAAAUAAAUAAAUUAAUACUCUGAAUAUUUUAGAAUUCAUCCAUUACAGUAAGUGUAGUAAUAUUAUUUAGUAGAAAUAGAAAAUCCUUUUGCAGUUAACAUGGUACGGCUUCAAAUUACAGUCUUCCUGCUUGUGGCCUGAUCUGCUUUUAUUGGUCGAAGAGGAAAAUGGGUAGUAAAUGACAGAGAGUUUAACAAACAUCCAAACUAUUACGAAAUAGCAGUAACGUAAAUAACUCUAGGUCAUAACAAUGAGCUUGAAUUCUCAGGAUUCUUGUGUAGAAAUCACUUUCAAGUAGGAUGCAGAGUAAGAAGAAUUGGUUAUUCCUUGGCUGUGAAAGAGAAACUCAUUUUGUGUUUCUCUGUUUAUGUGUGUUUUUCUAAGUGGACAGGGAUUAAUAAAAUUGAUUUCUGUUUUAAUACUAAAAAAAUGAUUCAUCAGGCUUUAGUAUGGUCCAUUUGCUGUGGGCGGCCCCUUGUCUCGCCAGGCCAGCCUCUGUGCAACAAAAUCUGGCCUCAUGACAGGCUGCUACAUCAAAACAACCAUAGAAGGGCACAGAGUGGCUCUCCUGAAAAAGAUAAAAUAAAUGAAAAUAAACCUGGAAGUACAAACUUUAGAGAAGAUCAGGACAAAAGCAUCACUGUAUGUAAGAUGACUACCAAAGAGAUAAAAUAUUGUAGAGAUAGAACAACUCUCCAAAACCAUUUUACAAAGCAUCACACAGGUAUGCAGUCUGCAUAGACACACAGUCUGAAACAAAGCACCUGGCCGAAGACGUGCCGCAAGCGCAGCGUCAAUCAGAUCCACCGCGCUGACAAGGCGUUCCCAAGCACAUUUUGGUAUUUUGGUGAGCCGCGCAGUCCGGCGUAAGUAUCCCCCCUCCCUAACUCAGCUCCUCCCGGCAGCAUAAGUCAUAGACGGGGAGGAGAGAGGGCGUGGAGUCGGUUUAACACAGCCGAGACCUGUUUUCACCAAUCACAUAAGCUCCUCUCCUUGCCUUUAAAUCCGCCACCGGCGAGGCGUAUUACUAUUUUCAUGAAGUAGUCAAAGAGAUCAAGAGAUGUCUGAAGACAGUUAUGCCACACGAUGGCGACAGAGGGCAGCUGCUCAACAAGUGUCCUCCACACUCUCUCAUCUGAGCACAGAUAGAUUUGGUGUGCGUAAUGUUGGACCCACUGGUAAGACAAACAUCCUUUUCCACAAAAAAGACACUCACAUAAAGUUGCAUAUAUUCAAACCUCACGUGACAAAGGUGGGUUGAGCGCACAGAUCACAACAUAAACUCCAAAAAUGGCAUUAAAAUCGGAACCAUCUGUGCGUAAAUGACGCAUCGCGCUCCGUGGCCUGGCUCUUUCUUUCAUAGAUGUUGGCAUAUAAAAUAAAUUUGGCCCACAAAACUGAAUAUUAUAAUAUCCGUAUGUCGGCUUAAAGUAGAUAACGCAUCUGAGCACUGAAACAAAUCAGCUGUUCAGCCGCAGCAGCAAGCAAGACGGACAGAGGACACGGAGACGUGUCCAGGUCGAGCUGUGCGAGAAAUAAGAGGAAGAAAGAAAAGGAGGGAGACACAUUACAUAUCUUGUUAACUUCAUCAUGUGUGUUUAUUUACUAGAUAUUUAAUUUAAUUUGAUGCAGUUUCAGCUGUAUUGAUUCGGUCAGGUUGUGUGCCCAAACGCGUGCCAAACGCGCUCAUCAGAUCAGAUAUAGAUCAGAAUAUAUCGAUAUAGAUCUAAGUGUAUGUGCUGACUCAGAUUAAUAGUUGAUGAUGAUUAUUUAUUGCACUGAAAUGCUUUCAGCGCACGUUACACGCCGGUGGCGAGCACGAAAAUGUCACUGCGCCGGCUGAUUCUGUCAACACCUCCCCCUGCCACGCCACCACGCCCAGCUUGGCGGAUCUCGGCUCGCCUCCGUGCGACUCAGUCCACGAAAAUACCAAACUCGCCUUACGCCGGGUUCCACCAGACGAAAAUACAACUGCGCGGGGCUCGCCGCCCUCCGCCGCCUCACCGGCGCGAACGAAAAUAGAGCCCACAGUCUGAAACAAAGCACCUGGGAGAAGGUGUUUACCUUUAGCUAACCAUCCAGCUUUCUGCAUGACCUGAAACCCCAUGAGGCUGUUGCGGGUUUCAUAUACCUCUGCACAGCACAGUCGAAAAUGAAGCCUCCAAAGCCUCAUUAGCAAUCCCUGCUGUUUUUUACAGACAUGCAAACAUUUCAGUGAAGUGGCCAUUCAUGAACUUUUGCAGAGUUGAAACACAACCUUGCAUCUGCAAAGCCCAGGUUUUUAUCAGACCUGUUUUGUCUUGAUCCGCCAGAUCUCAAAGGGACUGAACUGAAGGACUUCAUCAAUUAACAUUCAUAGCUGUUUGUUUGUGUGUUUCAUUGUUCUUCAAUGUGGACCAAAUGUUGUGUUAUAAUGGUGUUUUCAUUAAUAGCUGGGGUGUAACAUUAUGAACACCUGGCUAGUGAACGGCACAGUGGAUGUAGGAAUCCAAUUAGCCAGUUGGUACUAUAUGUUAGUACGUUAUAGUAUGUUAGUACUACUUAUUUCUGACCUGGGCCUUAUUAAAUCUCGACCGAAAACGUAUUUAUUUAUGCUGGCUUUUGAUUCCCAGUAUUGUGGUGACCCUUUCCUUUAUUUUGUUGCUUUUUAUUGUUUUCAUUUAUUCAUUUUAAUCUACUAUGGAUUGUAAGGCACUUUAGUUCACCGAAACGGUUGUUGUAAAAGGCUGUAUAAAGAACAUGGAAGACAGACAUGCAGCAUCAUAAAAGUGGUGUUGACAGUUUUAGAGGGACGAGUGAGAUUAGUUUUAAAAAUUCAUAUAGUCUAUUGAUCAUUUUUAGAAACAAAAAAUAAAAAAUAAAUUCAUAUGAUUGAGGUUACAUGCACACAGAAACUGGGUAAUCAUAUGCCUUUAGACGUGAUAUGUAAUUAUAUUAUUCCCUGAUUACUGCAAAUGGUUUGCACAGCUGCCAAUAAUGUUAUUUUUUAUUUUUAUUUUUUUAUAACACAAGCCCUAAUGUUCCCUCUGUAAUUCAAUCAAUCAAUCAAUCAAUCAAUCAAUCAAUCACUCUUUGUUUGUUCAGCAUCAAAUCCCAACAAACGUUACCUCAAGACGCUUAACUAAAAAGCUGGUCCAGACCACACUCUAUUUAAAAAGACCCAGUGUAAAGAUGGGAUCAGAUUGAGCCCCAUCUUGUAAGACGCAACCCACUCCCAUUCCAUCUUCAACCUCAUGAGUGAAUCACUUUACAGCAUUUAUCAAGUUAAAGUGGAGAACGUCCUUUAACAGGCAGAAACCGCGAACAGAACCAGACUGAUGUGAGACAGUCAUCUGCUGAGACUGAGCUGGGUUUAGAGAGGGGAGAGAGGGAGAUGGAGAAAGAGAGAGAUGGAUAGAGGAGAGACUGAUAGAGGGAGAUGGAGAGGGAGUGAAAGAGAGAUGGACAUAGGAGAGACUGAUGCGCAUAGUAAAGCAGCUAAAACUCAGUAUCUCUGUUGUUGAUUCAUGACUAGGUUGAGCCCAUUCCUAUGCAGGUAGUCAGCAGCAAAAUCCUUGACACACAUGCAAAUACACUCAGUGUUUGUUAAUCUCAAAACAUUUUACAGAUAAAAGAGUAAAUUAAAUUGAGACACACCAAUUAAAUUCAAUUAACUGUGCAUACUAACUUAAUGUUUUCGAGGCAAGGUCUGCAGAUGUGUACCUGAACCUUACAAGCAAUACCAAUGAGUAGACAAUAAUAUAUCUACAGUGAAUGCACAAAAGCACAAUGUAAUACAAAACAAAAACUUUGGGAGUUAAAUAAUUAAAGCAUCCAAGCGGUAUUAAAUGCAGUACUGUUGAAUCUGCAGAGGCAGAUGGCGAGUGGGAAAGGGGUCAUGGAAGCAUCGCCCCAUGAGGUAGCUAUAGAGAGUAAGACUGCAUGGAAAAUAAAUCAUGACCAUUAAGGAGCAUGAACCAAACCCCCAAGGUGAAAGUGGAGAAGUAUUCAAACACACAUUUUGCAGAUUGUGCAAACAAAGACUAUUUUUAAUGAAUAAGAGGGACAAAUCCAAUGAGCAGUGAUGCGGUACAGUAACCAGCAGGAGUCUGGUUAGAGUUGACAAAUACCUCACAGACUGUACAAUUCAAAGUAGUAGGACAAGGAUUCGGUCUGUAGCUAACAGUUUACCAUGAGUAGUCAUAGAAACCAAAAUGUCAUGUGUUGUGACAGUCUUAGAACAACCAUUUCUUAUGUCUCGAGUCCAUAGGCAGAAGUUGUCCAAUACUACCCAGAUACAGCCAUGUAGCAAAGCUCCUAUUGUGACUGAAAUACCCCUGGAAAUGUAAUUCUUGAAACUGAUGAUAAAAAUUGGGAAUAAAACUAUAUCUUAUUUAUGAAUUUCGUGUGCAACUUGGCUCCUUAUUUACAUGAUCAUCUGGGCCAGAUUUGAAGGUUAGGACAGUAAAGCAGGUCAGAGAGUUUUAAUAAAGAAAACUUGAAAAAUUACAAAUAAAUGAUGUAAAAUACAAAUAGAAACAUUUCACAAUUAGAGCUUUUUUUCUGCAGAGCUCGAGUAGCUCAUUAGCAAUUCGCCUCUGAGUCGUGGGCAGAGACAGCGCUGCUCUGCAUACUGGUCUUCAUGCUAGGUUGUAGCCUAACAUUGCUUGUGUAGUAAAAGUUGCAGGUAACAUAGGAGCUAUUAAGCUCUCAGAGACACUAAUGUAUUUGGGGGCAUAAUAAAAGUUAAUAUCAUAAUUAGCUUUCUUAUGAGCACUGCAAUCCGCUACAGACACGCUUGUUCCGCGAUAAUCGUCUCUAUUUCUCCUGAGCCUGGCCUGCAUAGCGGGGCUCCAGGGGCGAAGCUUGGAUUGGUUACGUAUGAAAUCUCACUGUUUCUGAACCUGCCGUCUGGGUCUGCCAGAGAUACACAGCGAUUUGAAUGAAGAAAUACUCAGAAAAGCAAUUUUGCAUUUAGUUUUCUCAUGAUAUGUCCUGUAGCAUUAGAAAAAUGCCAUAUGAACAUACAAAGAACAAGAAGAGGGUCUUUAAACAUAUUUAUUUACAGGGGCGGCAGUGGCUCAGAGGUGAAGUCAGUUGUCUUCCAAUUGGAAGGUCAAGGGUUCAAUCCCAGAUCCCACUGUCAACAUGCCAAUGUGUCCUUGGGCAAGACACUUGCAAUCAUCUACCCUGUUGGCUGCAUCCAGUAGUGUCAGUCAAAAAAGCAAAGGGCCCUAUUAGGGGUGUAAGGGUACACAUAGUUUUAACUGUUUCAGUACAGGACUUAUGGUACACUGUGCAUGCAUACUGAGCUAAAAUCCUAGUUCCCACAUGGCCAUAAGACAGAAACAGACUACACAUAUGGACAUUCGUUUCCUGUGUUUCAAGAGGCUCAUGCAAUCAGCAAUCCAUCCAGCAGUUGAAUGUAUUAACAGUGUAUAGAUUCAUUCUGUAUACCUCUAUAAUUCAAACAUGUCUUUGUAAGUAUAUUGUUGGUGCCCUUUGCAUCUUUGAUCAUUACUUCCUUUGUUGUAAGCUGUAGGAUCAAUGAAGUUCCUUAUUUUAUUUCUCACUCCACAGAAAUCAAGUCAUUUUAAGUUUCUUGUACUUUUGUAUAGAUUUUCAAUCAUCUCUCCACCACCGUUGCAAACCCACUCUCUUACAAACAAGAGUGAAAAUAACUCUAAAGUUGUGAGUCAUUCAGUGUUUUGUAAUUGUACUUUUACAGGGCUGGAGUGCCACAAAGAUCUUAUUGGAAAGCAGUUGCUAUUACUCGGACCUUUUGUCCAAAGAAUAACACAUUUAGCAGCUCCAGGUCAAGACCUUCAGUACAGAACCUUGCACCCGUACCCAGAACACAACAGGAAGUCUGGAUGCUUGCAGCUUUAACAAGCCAUAUCAGAUAUUAUGUUUUUGCUGUUGUGUGUUUGAAAAGUCUUCAGACUGGGAGGCUCUUUUAGUGCUUUCUUUUAAGUGCUGAAACUUCUCUGAGACCUCUAGACUUAGAAUCCUAGCCAAGUCUAACUUGAACAUUUCCAAGUCACCAUCAAAAGGAGAAAAAAGAAUAAACAUUUAGUGAUUGAUAUUAUCUUUAAUUACACCUGAAAAUGUGUUUAUUACUUCAUAAACAGUCACAGUUGACAUUAGCCUUUAAUUAAGUUGCACCCAUUGUUUUCUUUGAUUUAAGUUUGUGUAUACAAGAGCUUAUCAUCGGCAUAAGAGUUGACUUAAGGUAGAGGAAAUACAAAUGUUGAUACUCCUCUGGAUUUUGAAGAUCUAAAUGACUGGGGGACAUAACUGCGAUGAAUUUUAGUUUCAACUGAAUGUCAUUGUCUUAUCCUGUUACAGUAAGGUUCUGUAAGAGAUAUGGGAUGUGUCAGACCAGCAUUUACAAUAUUCAACAUAUUUUACCUCAGGCAAAAGCACAUUAAAGAUAAACAGGCUUUCGUUGUUUUGAUGAUACUGAACAUGAAUUAGAGCAUCUGAACAUUGUCGGAGUAGACUUUGGGACUUGCCCUGCUGCUUCAAAUGUGGCGGUGGGAAAUGGUGACACUGAAAAAAUAAAAUAAAAACAACAGGAUUAGAAACUGAUGGGUAUAUGAAAUAAAUGUGUAUAAAGAAAUCAAUAGCAGACUAAACAUUAACUCAGUGUAGGAGUUUUAACACGUUAAUUGAAUAAUGUUUGACUUGAAAAUGAUAAUACUGAUAAAAGUUUUUUCUUUUUUCAUUUGACUUAACUCAUGUAUCACAUGUUAUAUUGGCAGGAAGACCCUGCAUCCAAAGUUAAAGGGAUAUUUUGGCGUAAAAUUAAGUUAGGGUCAAACACACUAUAAUAGUAAGACACCCCGUUGAGAGAUGAAUGUUGCAGACCGCUUGCUUAUCUAGUUAUACCAACUUUAGUAAUGGCCGCAGAUAGCAAUACAGAGAGCCACGCGCUCAACCAAAAAGCCACUCUAUAGCCACAAAUAAUGCUCAGAACAGCACCUAACUUCAUCAACAGUACAUAUAGUGUCCCAGCCAAAGUACUAGCCAUCAAACAUAUUUUAAGUUUUGCCUGAUUUCUUUAGCAAAGAGACAAAACACAACUCACCCACUCUCUCCCAGCAGCUGCUUGUUUGUACGGAGAUGUCUGGACAAGUCCAUCAACUGCAGCGGGAGGACGCAGCUCAAGGAAGAACAUUUAUGUCUGUGUGUAAAAACCCUUUGUUAGCUUUGCAGAAUACUGCACAAUAGGACAUAACCAAGCUUAUGAUUCCUAAUUUCAUUAAGUGUUGGUAUUGACACUGGCAAACCUGAUUAGAGAAUUGGUAAACUAGCCAAAUAAACAUCUGUAUGUUCUGUUCCAACUCCACUAGUUCUAAUAUCAGCUUUUAACAUGCCAGGGGCUUUAUUGUAUAAGGAUCCAGAGCAGCAGCUGAGAGGUACUCAGAGCUGUCAAUCACAUCAAUCAUUAGAGUGUCUCUGUGAGGACAAUGAAACCACCUCUAUAACAGGGUGGAGAGGUGACUGCUAGAUGUGUUCGUCAUAAAAUCGGAAGUGAUAUUCCAAAGUUGAAGAUUGAAAUGAGACAGAAACUGCUGUGAUGUUAAUUACCACUUGCUGGGAAAGCUUAGUCAUUAUUAUUAACAGAUGUCAAGAACUGCUUAUAGAGUGAAGCUUUUAGCAGACUGAUGGGAAAAAAAAGGCUCAAAAAAUUCUACUGAACAUGGACCUAUAUUAUACCUAUGGUGAAUGCACAGUCCUGCAGUUUGCACUAUUAAUUCACAGUAAACACCUGACAAAACAGUUGAAAAUAUUUUUUUUGUAGAAAGUAUUGCUAUUAUCAAACAAAUUAUAGCAUUCUACAUGAUUCAUUUCACAUGUUUUCUGCUGUAACAGGAACAGCUAUUUACUGUAGUCAAAAGAAUUUCAACGAAUAAUUGUCAUUUUGUUCACGUUAUUUUCUUGUUCUCUGCAUGGUUACAUGGUUCCACUGUUUAUAAUGGAAAAUAACUGUUUAAACUACACUUUACAGUAUAUUUUUGUGAUUAGUUUACAUUUAAUUUGUUUGAACAUAGUAUGCACAGUAUGCACUAAAUUACUGAGUGUACAAAGAGACUUAACAUGCUUUAAAUCUGCAAUUCAUUGGUAAAAUAAAUUUACCAAUAAAUAAAACCCAAGUAAGAGCUGCAGAAACCCAUGACUUGUAUUCAAGUCAAUUGUCUAAAUGUUUAAUAAACAGUGUCCAUCUAUUUUGAUAGAUCCAAUAGAUUUCAAUGGGAUUAAAGUGACUCUUUAAUAUUAACUUCCUGUGUUUGUCAUUUGGUUUAAAUGGCUGGUUAAUUUGUGCAAAUAUCUGUAAACAGUUGGUACUCAUUACAAUCACUUUUUCCCCUUUUCUUCCUCAGAGCAACACAAGAGAAUAAUCAACAUAUUUUUCAUACACGUUGAAUUUAAAAUUGCACUUGCAUGCUAGUUAAAAGACAAAUAUUAGUGUUUGUUAUCGCCUUAAAAGAGGAGUGGAAAAUUACAGUCUAACUUUAGGAUACAAAUGAAAAGUGAGCCAUUUCGGAGCUCUGUUGAAACAACAAGAAUGACAGUGUAGACCUCACCUGUUUGAAAUAUGACCCUUCGGUGUUAUGUAUUCAAACGUUACAUCGGUGUUAGAAUAGGCAUGCACUUUACUUACAGUUUUCAUCCUUCAUUAAACCUGACUGACAUAUCUACAGGGGUGUCAAAUGACUGAUGAGCAUUCACCCUUUUCCUGCUGACGUACCAGUGAGAGGAAAACUGCACAAGCACUUGUUUCCUGGGUAUUAAAUACUGAAUCUUACUAAAGGUGCAAUAUGCUCAUUUAACCCUUAGGCCCUUCUGUGUACAUUUCUUGUUCUUUCAGAUGGGUUUUUAUGCCGUUCAUUUUGGAAAGUAGGGCCCCAGGGCCACGGACAAUAACUGCAAACAUGUUUUAGAUUAGGAAAUCUGGAACGAAAAGGACAUGAUAAGAAACAGAUACAGUUGUAAUGUACAUAAUGAUCCAAAGAUGGGAAGAAAAUUGAUGAUGAGGUUAAAUCUAUUGAUCUGGGUCAAUCCAGAUGUUCCAACAAUCGAACAAUGAUUCAGCCAAAUUAUUGGAAAGUAAAAUCAUCAUCUGCAUUGACCUCUUUAUGAUACGCUGCCACUGGAUAAUCAGCCCACCCGUCUCACAGUUUCUUCAAGGUGUGCUCAGGCAUUGAUCCCAUGCUACCCCUUGCAAUGAGCAUUGGUACCAUGACUACCACUGCCUGCUCAACCUCCUUUGACCAACUUUUUUUUUUUUUCAUCAAUAGCUCAACCAAAACUCAAUUUUUCAUCUUUAAAGGCUUGAGGCUUUGCAGUGAUGUUGAAAAAAUUUUUUUUUUCUGAGAGCCACACUAUACCACAGAGCCACAACACUAAAUCGCAGAGAAACAGCACUUAAGUGAAAUGGUUUACAGGGGCAAGUCUAGGGGGGAUAAACCAAAAGUUUACAAGUCCUAAAAGAGUAGCUUUCACUGUAUUUAAAUUCAAGGUGGUAGAAGGAAUCAAUGUAUGAUUUAAAAAAAUAGCACUCAAAGAAAAAAGUGUGGCACUUCACACAAAAAACAAUGGCCUUUGUUCUCGUGGUCAUGGAGAUGUUAAUGUUUUAAUUCAGAUCUCUAAUAAGAUUGUGAAAAAGCUUCCAUUUUAUUUUCCCUCUGGCUGAAUUAUAAAAAAAGUGUGUCAGGCUGGUAUUGUCUGAAAUGGAUCAAGGCUGUUGUAUGAAAAUGAAUCAAGCUUGUAUUGUGGCAGAAUUUGAACAAUAUAGUCUAGUUGUUCAAGGAAUCAAUAUGAUAUAGUACUGUGAUGAUAUUUGUGCUGAUGGUGAAGGAUUGCUGUGCCAGUCCAGUGAGUUUCAAGACAAAUGUUUUGAAGAGUGGUGUAUAAAGUACCUAAAAGCCAUACUUGAGUAAAAGUAGAGAUAUUGCUCCAGGAAAACGACUUGGGCAAAAGUAAAAGGACAGUAGUAUUUAUUUGAAAAACAUUCAGAAUAUUGAUCAUUAUGAGCAGAUAUUUGUAGCUGCAGAACACAAGUGUUAGUUAUUUUGAGGCCUCGGGCAAACGCUACGGUGAGUAAGUGAAUAAAAUGAUAUCUAAAGCAUUUCUUUUUGGUUCACAGAGGUCGCAGAGCUCAGGACAGAGCUGAGCGUUAAUUAUAAAUAAGCACAGACAUACUGUAACAACCACACCAGUAUCUGCUCAUCAUCCAUGUAAGCAUCACAUCAGAACUCAAAGUCUUAUCAGUCAGACAGAAAUCAAGAAAACGUACGCGCACCAUCAACAUAACAGCUGUCCUUCUGCCACGUUUCUUAAGUUUAUUUCUGUUUACCACACUGUGCCCCCCACCAGUCUGCUCAUUAAUGCCAAUAGAUCCAGAAGAGCAGAGGUCCUCUGGUAACAUUUUGGAUAAUAAACCUAACGAAUGCAAUGUGGCGCCUUAUUUACAUUCAAAAUAUAUUAAAAACAAUAUGACAAAUACAGGCCUACCUCGCAUCUGCUGCUACCAUUAAACAAAAAAAUAAUUAUGAGUGUGAGACUAAAUUCAGUGCAUUAUUGCUCAACAUUAUUAAGGGAUUUACUUCCAUCACACUCUUUCAGAUAGUGUUAAUACAGUGUAGUGUGUGCUCUAUUUACCACUCAUCAUCUGCUUAUCCCUUUCUCUUUCUCUCUCUCUAUCUUCCUCUGGAGUCUCUCUCUCCUCUCCCCAUUUUUCACCAGCACCUGCCGUCUUUCUGUCUAUCUGAAUUACACCGCCUGCUGUAUGAUCACACAAUGACAUGCUAAUUAAACAUUAGCAUAGAAGAGCACAGUAAUGAAUAGAGAUGUGGAGCAUCUUAUUGGUUGACAUUUUUUGGAGAAGUUACCUCAACUUCCCAUCCUUACUGCUGUUCUGAAACAAACAUGAAGUGUCUUGUUAAGACGGCAGGCCACACUGUUGGUCCAAAAGCUUGGAGAAACAGCAUAAACCUUCAUUUUCUACCACAGACAUGGGCUGGUUGUCCAGUGAGAUGGAUUCAGCCGGUAUCUGUGAAAUCUUUUGGCCUUUUCGCUCUCUUCAGGAGAUCCGUCCUUCCUUUUUUAAAGGCCAGAGUUUGAUGCUUUGGGGGCAGCAUCUUUUCCCUCUGUUGCUUUAGUAAAUACAACUCAUUCUACUGCAUGUUCAGUUUUUAGAUGUUGAAGCAAAUUGUUAUAAUAACCGAGUAUUUUGGGGUUGCUGAACUGUAACAGCUGACGUUAACGAUCAGCCUGAGAUGAUCAGUUGAUAUUUCUGAUACCCAGUCAGUUAGAAAUGUGCAGAUUGGCUCCAAUCAGAAAUCACCCCCAGUAAACUAUGUUCAGAGAGAGAAUGUGCUUUUCAGACAAAACCGGUUUGUUCAUUUUUGCUCUAAAAAUAGGCCUUUUUGAAUAAGUGUGUACAUGGUUUCUAUGGUGCAGCCAGCCUCAGGGAUCUGCAGAUUCUAGCACUUCCUCAUCGGCUUCACUCACACACACACACACACACACACACACACACACACACACACACACACACACACACACACACACACACACACACACACACACACAUAAAGCAUAAAAACCCUCUGUUAUAAAUAAAAGCAACACCCCCCCACCCCCACCCCUUCUGUAUGCUAUACUGUAUGCCCCUCAUAUCGUUUCCCUUUUGUUUUUCAAUCUCACUACUAUAGUUUUUAUAUUCCUGUAACAAGAAAGAGAGAGAGAAAAAAAACUGCAAUAUAAAAAUACAAACAGAUAAGAAGAGAAAGGGUCUACUUAAGUUGGGAUAUCAGGAAAGAUUUGAAGUCUUAGCUGGUGGAAAUCCUGCUGUAAAAUUAUGUUAAUCUCUCUCUGAGACAGGAGAGGGGGGUUGAUCCAAAAAAAGCUUCUUUUUUUUCUUUUUUCUUUUUUUUAAAGAGAUCAACUGCAGCCAGAUUCAAAUGCAGUGCGAGUAUUUGCUAAAAGUGAAAUAACGGCAUCCCUCAAGUCCCAUGCAAACCAAAGGAUGAACCAAGGGUUGAGCAGCUCCUGGUUUCAGAUUUUGAAGAUUUAAUCUUGAGCAAAGUCACAGAGUUGUCUCAGGCUUUGAGGCUGUUUUCGGGGACUGCAGAAAUAUUUACUGUACCUGUCCUCUCUCAGCUGUAAUUAGUUUAGUCAGUUUGGAGAGAUUCAAAGGAGCACUUUGGGAUGAAGUGGAUUCUAGCUCAUGAGGUUAUAGUGACAACCACUCCCUUUACCCUCCUCCAGCAAACAUGUGUGAGAACCCACGCGAGUCCGUCUUAGGUUUUUCCAUUUAGCUGUCAGUGUAAGUUAGGUGACUCUAUAUAAAGAGCAGACUCAGAAACAUGCAGCAUGCACUCAGUCAGGGCGCUUCUGGUGACCACUUUAAAGAGCUAUAAAACCAAGAACCAUAUCUCUCUUUCCUUUAGUCAGUCUCCUUUGUUUGUUGUUUGUUUUACAGUAAAUUACCGUGACACUCUGCUCAUUUUAAGGGUUGGCGGAACAACACAGUAGACUCCUUAAAAAGGAGCUGCUAUCUCUGGGGAUUUUGAGGGUUAUUUAAAGGUGGUGGUAAUAAAUGUUUUGUUUUUUUUUGUUUUGUUUUUUUUUCAAAAAUCCAUAGAUCCCUACAACACCUCCAGUUCAGAUGUUUAAAUGCCACAUAGUCAUUUGUACCAUAUUUUUCUUGUUUUUGAUCUAAUUUUUUGCUCAUGCUGAAGCACUUAAUUAUUGAGGAGAGGCCACACACAGCAGUCAGCUGAGUUUCCCCACAACAACAGGUGUUUUGAAUAACAAUUCAAGUAUCUCUCUUCUUUUACACAAUGUUCUCCAAUGUUCUUCCUGAAGCAUGCCCGUGUUUUCCCUCCUCAUGGUUCAAUUCGUUCCACCUAUAACCAUUCUGGAUGUUAUUGUUAAUAUUAACAUCACAGCACACAUUGCUUUCUUGCCUUUCAUGAUAAGCCUGAUCAUUGUUAUUGCACCCACUUGCAACCUCAAUUAAAUUUAGAGGCUGCUUUGUCCUGGCUUUAAAGAGCCUCUGACUUCCUCCAGGGGCUUAAUCCCAUAAACCGCUAUGACCCACAGACAUCAUAACUUUAAGCUGCCAGUCAAGGCAGCAAUGUCAAACUACCCUCAAGUGGAAGCAAAGUGGAUACAGGUCUCUCUAAAUCUGUGUGUGCGUGUUUAAGUCAGUAGGACAUCACUCAGUGUAGAAGUAUUAAUACAUGACAUGAAAAAGUAUGGAGGUUGUGUCCAAUGAAGUUCUCUCUGUACCAAACCUGCUCUGGUUUAUCCUGAUUUGGAAAUGUGACAAAUGAACAACAUUUUACAGAGACAUAACAUUUUCUGGAAUUUCUAGCUGAUAUCCCCCAUUUUUCUUGAUUCUUCUCUUACCGCUCAGUCACAGGGCUGUGAAACCAAAUGCUGUGCUGCAAGAGUUUUCUGCUGAAGUUGGAAAAAAGGCACACACAAAAAAUAAAUAAAUAAAUAAAUGAAUAAACUUAAACAAAAUGUGGUGUUAAUGCAACAUGAAAUGCAACAAAAGCAGGCAGGAGAACUACGACAGAGUAUUAGGGCCACAUUGAAAAAAAAUACGACUUAGAGAUGAAAGUUGUUAAUUUAUGAGAAUAAAGACAUUACUAAUGAGAAUAAAGUCGUAAUAAAGUAAUUACUUACUCAAACCUGUUGUUUAAGAUGACAGUUGUUGAAAUGAGAGCCAUAGAGCAUUUUGUGAAAAUGUACUUCAAUAUAGGUUUCUCAAACAAGGAGAUACUUUAGGCACAUCGGCACCACAUUAUUAUAAGUAGCCUAUCGUAAUGAUUUUAUUACAACUUUAUUUUCAUAAGUAUUUACUUUAUAACGACUUUAUUGCCAUAAGUUAUGAUUUAAGUACGACUUAAUUCUCAUAAGUAAUUACUAUAUUACAACUUUAUUCUCUUAAGUUAUGAUUUUAUUAGGACUGUAUUCCCGUUGGUAAUGACUUUUUUCUCAUUAGUAAUGACUUUAUUCUCAUAAGUUAGUGACUUUACUCUCAAAGUGUUAAUUUUUUUUUCUUAAUGUGGCCCUAAUACUCUGUCAUAGGGGAGCAUCAAGUACAUGGAACAAUUCAUGAUUGUAAAUGUUUUUUUUAAAAAAUGAAACUGCUGCAUGAAACGUGAGACCCACGAAUAUAUUUCAAGAACUUUAAGCCUUGAAAAGAUGUACAACAAAAGGUUUGUAGCUUUGGUAUUCAGGAUGAUAAUGUUAUUCUAGGCAGGGAGGUUUUUUCCUCUACACACUCUAUCUUCCAUACAAGGACGCCUUAGUGUGUUAUGGUUUUAUAGCAUGGCAGCGUUCCACUGAAUACAGUAGGUUAUGUUGUAAUCGUGAUCAGCAAGAGUGGCCUCUACACCUGUUGGCCAAUCAGAAAUGAGUAGUUUCUGUGGUCACGGCCUCUGCGUCCAUUUAAUCAGACAUCUCAAAUGAACUGAAGUAAUAAGAUGGCCAGACUCACUUUUUACCUUCCUGAUAAUUUCUAUUAACAUAAUGUGCUUUAUCCUCUUAUCUUAAACCUUAAAUCAGCUUUCAGCCCAAAAGUAUUACUGAGCAUCAAACUCCAGUGUGUUCUCGCCCCACUACUUUAGAAAAAGUCAACUUUGUCCAAAUUUCUAACUUGAAUUUCUGAUAUUACUCUAACAGGCCUUGCCAUGAGUUGCGCCCUUUAUAUAUCAGAUCAGGUAUUUUCAUGUGUGUCCUGUGGUCUGUGGGACGUAUGGGUAGGAUAACAGUGUCAUCAAUAUACCAACCCAGACCUGAGGGCCUGCAAGCCAGGGAUUAGCCCCGGGAACAAAAGACAAAAACACCAACGUGUUUCUGUGAUGUUCCCAACAAGGGAUUAGAAGGUUCCCGCUGACCGGAUUAAAACAAUACCUACUGUUUUCUCUGUCCCUCUACACCAGCCCAUUUUAUCCUUUUUUCAGCUGUGAUAUUAAGAGAUGUUUUUGCUUUCUCUUCCUCUGUUUGGAUUUUUUUUUUCUGAUCUCUUUAUCCUCCUCCCGCUUUCUAAUGGUUAAACUGUGUUUGGGUUUCUCUCCUCCUUUGGAAGGAUUAUUACAAUCCUACUUAAUCCUGAAAUUCCACCUCAAUGCCACAUCUCCUAGUGAUGCUUUUAUUUAUGAAGAAAUACAUUUUGAUGAGGAAGUAAGAUAAGACUUUUUAGUAGGAUAGUUUUGAAAUGUACCUUCCAGCAGACAAAGAUUGAGUGAGACCUGAGGCAAUUAUGGUCAAUGAAAACCAACAGUAUCAUAAAAAGUAAAAGGUCAAAAAUAUUAAUGUUAGCUGAGAAAAAAAAAUGAGGCUUCACAAAAACACUAUAACUGAAACCGUAUUACAUGUUCAAAAUCACAGAAGGAUGUCCUUCAUUUUCACUUUGGCACACAAAGCAGAGCCAUGAAUAAAUUUUUGUUCAGACCUUUUUAACCACAAAUAUUGAAAUCUUUUUUACGUAUGAUUCUUUAUUUUGUCGGGUACAUUCAGAAACCUGGUUUAAGAUUUAACUCUGAAACAUUUACAAUACAGAGAUGACUUUUUCUCCACCUGCUGACUUUUAAUAUUUGACUGGACAUGUGCAAAGCAGCAGCUGCUCUCCAGAGAUUAUCAUGUUCAUAUUUUGCCAUUGAUGGUGAAGAAAAAUACAUUUUUAGGACACUGCUAUUCGGUUUGUACUACUGUGAGCAGGCCUGGUUAAACAGUAUGACUGCAGCAGGAAGGAAAGAUUCGCAGCACCUCUGUCACACACAGUGGCUGGAAAGCAGGCAAGUCCACAAAAGGUCUGCAGCAGUGAUCCAGAGGAACCUACAGGAUGAUGGAGUUCAGGGACUCCCAGAAAAGACUGUGGCUGUUUUCGAAUUGGCCUACUGCAUACUCCUGCCUACCGCAGUAUGCAGUAUGCAGUAUGACUGCAAGUCGGCUGUUAUUAUGUAGUAUGUGUGGCCUGGUUUCGCUGGUUUCCGGUAUGGAAAAGUCCAUCGUACCCUGGUAAAUUGCAACGACACUACAGUGUUGCCCAUUCAUUUACACACUAAGAAAAAAAAAAUCUUAGCCCAAUACCAGACCACAAAACGUGUUCUGUCUAUGCAAUGACUCGUUGGUCUGGUGGCAUUUGAUUCUCAUCAUUGUAAAUACAGCAAAGUUAUGUUACGUCAGUUAUGUUGUCCUCGUUUCGCUUAAAUGAAAGAAGUUGCAAUCCUCGCUUAACGCGUUUUUUGAUUGUGUCUGCGUAGUGUGGUCUUAUUUCCCUUUGUCCCAAUAGUUUGAUAACUACAGUUAAAACCCUCUAAUACAAACUUCUGUUUUCUGUCUACUAAUGAGAGCUUUCACUGUUACUCUUUACUGUUGAUGCACUGUGCUGCCAUCUUGGAUUAUGAUGUUGUUGCCAAGUCAGGGUUGGUGAGGUCAGAAUUCGACUUCAGGGGUGCGUUCCAGGUGAAUUUCCGACUUCCGAGUACAACUGGAACGCAGCAUAGAAGCAAACACUAACAUUAAUAUUAGACAUGAUAACCUUGGGGAGACCCCUGCUAAAAUGAAAAGAAGUCAAUGAUUUUCAAUAUUAGACCAAUGAUAAAUCAAUUAAACAUUAUUUUUCAAUGUCUUUACUGACAAUAAGGAAGAAUAAGUCGAGGAUCCUGUUAGGGAAGAAACAUAAUCAGCUGAAUUUUCCAGACACAGUGGAACUAAUUGAGUCAAUCAAAAACAAUUACCUUUCAAACCGGGCACACCAAAGAAUCGGACAAAGAAAAUUGGGUCAUUACUUUUAGGGGCGAACUGACACUAAAACUAAUCAAGGAAAGAAAAAGAUUUGUCAGAAGUAGGCUGUUGGUCUGCAGUGACGACAGGCUGGCUGGAUAAUAUGGAUGAUGGACUUCCUUCUCCAUUUGUGACAUGGAUUAUAGGAUUUAAACAAUACGCUGUGAGGAUACCUUAAUAGAAAAAAAUGAAGUGUGGCCAAGACUGAGGCUUAUUACUAUUUUCUCACAGUAGGGUCCAAAUGUAAUUAAAAUAUUGAGUGAUAGAGUUACAAUCAGUGUGACAGCCAGAGAUGAUAGCGGAUGUUGACACAGCUGAUAUGUGAUGAUGAGACGACUGGGCUGUGACCACACUGAUUGGUCUGAUGUAAUUGGAAUGUUGACAAAAAUAAACACCGGUUCUGGAGGGCACCAAUUAUUCUAAACGCCAGCCUGCCAGGGGAAAGCAAUCACACCCAGACAAGCCUCUGAGCUAUCAAUAAUCACACACACAUACACAUACACACACACGUGAAAAAAAGCCCAAAACAGAGAUGUUUACACAUAGAUAAGACCCCAUGACAACCUCUGCCAAAAACAAAAACAGGACUUUGUGCGAGGCUGCGAUUACAGGAAUAAACAAACAGCAAGAAUAAUCAGACAAAGAUCAACCUCCGAAGCAGGAGUAAUCAAACACAGAGUGCCUGGGGGGCAAAACUGCAAUAAUCAAAUGCAGACUGCCAUUCAAGCUUGUUCGCUGUCAGGCCAGCGGGGUAAUGAUAUGAUGAGGAUGAAGCAAUUCCUGGAUUCAGGAGCUGUUGCAAAGCCGAGCGGACACAAGUCAAUCAUGCCUGGAGGGUUGCUCCUGGUUACCUUAUGAUUGUGGAGUGGGAAAAAAAAGUUACAGAAUGUUUUCUUCUGUAAAAGAAGUUUAAAAAAAUGAAAGCCCACAUCUGCCAAUUAAAUUUCAGAGAAAUAGCCCAAAUUUUAUUGACAGGAGUAUUAUUGUUUGUUAGCCUAAACUAUCACCCAUGUGCCUGUUUCUUAACCUUCAAAUUCAUCAUUUGCUCCCUCUGACAUGCAGUUUCCCUAGAUUGACACUUCUGGUGAGCCAUGGGGGGGAUUCGCUUCUGUCAAACAGACUCUUUCUGACAAUUCAGCACUAGCGGGCAUGUCCAAUCUUGAAGAUUCGUGGAAGGACACAGUUAGUAUGGUGCAGGACAAUGCUGAAGUGUUCACUCUCCUUUUUUGUUUGCUCUACAUAACAUUUAUUCUUGUAUGCCUCAGUCCUGGUCUUUGCCUGUGUGUGUGUUUUUGUGUUUGUGUGUGCACGUGUGAAUGUGUUACAUGUGUCUGUUUGGGAAAGCGUGACAUCACCUUCCUACCAUCGCAAUCAAAUGUCUCACGCUUCUCCCAAAUGUUCCUGACCUUCCUCAAAUAAACCUAUCAUCUGUGAUCAAGAGCUGUCUCAUCCUUUCUCCUACAUUCAUUGUGACAUGUACACACUUACUCUCUCUCUCUCGCUCACUCAUGUACACUGGGAACUUUUCAUGCAAGACUUUUUCUUUUUCCCUGUGGACUUAAACACACUCAGUUAUUUAGACAAGUAGGUAGGUAGAUGUUUGAUAGAUAGAUAGAUAGAUAGAUAGAUAGAUAGAUAGAUAGAUAGAUAGAUAGAUAGAUAGAUAGAUAGAUAGAUAGAUAGAUAGAUUCUUAAAGAAUAAUAUUAAAUAGGUUAGAAAAUGGUGUUAGUAAUUCUUUUUCUUCUUCUGCCUCUUGCAAACACUCACACAAACAUACGGCCUGUAUCUCUCUCCAUUGCACUGUGCUCUCUGCUCCCCCUCAGUCCCUGGGCGAGAUUAUUAUAGACAAAUGAGAGAGUGAGCUGGAGUGAGAGCAGAAGGAGCUUGGUUUUUGUCAGUGGGUCACACGGUGGUGGCAUGGUUAACUAGCUAAUAUGAUUAAAUUUAGCAGAGGCACAAGUCACAUUGUAAGCCCACAUCAAAGUCUACCCGCUACUGCGAGAGCGAAACGAGCCCUCUGUGAAAACCGAGAGAGGGAGAGAGAGAGAGAGAGAGAUGAGGGAGAGAGAUGCGCAGACGAGGAAAAGAGUAAUGUUUUAAACAUAAAACAGAAACAGAAUGGUAAAGAACGAUGAGGCAAUAAUGAGGCAAGAGGAGAAGUGUUAGCUUAACCCAUCAAGUGAACUGCAUGACCUGGAAAGUAGCAGUUAACAGCAAAUCCAUGUCUGUUUCCUUCUGAGCACAAAUGAAGGGUCAUUGACAAACACUUAUGAUGUCAAGUAUGAAACCAGCUCGCUGACCUUGUGGUUUGAUUAUCUGCCUUGAGACUGAGAGUUUGUAAGCACACUUCUCAGAUGGUUUAUUGCGAGGAAUAUGAAAUUGCCUCUAGAGUUGAGGGUUACAAUUGAACUCUGCAGCUGAAAGAGAUAACUGAUUCAACAUGAAGAAACUCGGGGACUAUGGUGUUCGCUGUAUUUAAGACUGCUGAACAUUUUUUCUGAGUUUUACCUCUUUUCAGAACAUGCUCACUCAGUAACAGAGUGUGCCUCAUCGAGGAGCCUAUAAUAAAACCUUUAUAAAUAAAUAAAACAAAGAGAUGGAAAUUCAUGGGUCCUUCUUACCAAAAUGAAAGAACGACAGCAUAUUUCCUCAAAUCUGAAUUCCUUCAUAAUGACGAAUGUUUUACUGGAGGACUUUUUCCUGACUAACUUUCUAACCCUGCAAUGUUACACUUUUAUCAUGUGAUGAAUUACCGGAAAGCAGUCGCUUUGUAAUGAUCGUCUUUGAAUUGAAGGUCUUGAUUAACUCAGUUGCUCAAAAUCAGAAAACAGAGAGGACGUCUGGCAAGAAAGAAGAUCGAAUCAAAUGUUUGUUCUGGCAAAAAGAAUAAUUAUGAUUUCCCCAAUAACUAUUGGUAAAAAAUAAUGGAAAUUAUCAACUCAUGUAUGUACAUUACCUAAAUAUGCAAGGCCAUUACAGGCCGAUCAGUUGGGAGUACCUCCCAAGUUUUUGUUCAUAAUGAUUUUUUUUAAAUCCAGCAUGAGUUUUAUGUAUUUUGGGAUGUAUUUACUCCAUGAUCAGAUGUUGCGUUCAUGGAAAUGCACCAUUUUACUCCAUUUACCUUUAGAUAUACAUUGAUGUUUACAGACCAUUGCUAAAUAUAUGUCAGCAAAAGAUAAUAAGGGCUUAGUUUUAGGGUUGAAAACAUUAGCAAGAGUCACAACUUCAGUGCAAAAGCAAAAAAAAAAAAAAAAAAAAAUCACAGUUGGAUUAUUCACUUCAACUUUUUGGCUUUUGAGAGUCUGCAUACAAAAAUCCUAAUAAAUCUCAACUGCGUUUAAACUACUGCAAAAAUGGCUAGAGAGAAGCAACUGAGUAAAGAAACAAAAGUACAGAUUUGUACAUUGAGAAAAGAAGGAUACACAGAAAGAGAAAUUGCUAAACACUUAAAAGUGUUUAACAAAGGAGUCCACUACACUCUAGAGGAACCUGGAAGUUAUGAUGAUAGGAAAAGACCUGGACGAAAGAGAGUUACUACAAAAGCAGAGGAUAAACAUAGCAUUGUUACCAGUAAGAGUGAUCGGCGAAAGACAGCACCAAAAAUAAGGGAGGAAAUCAACAUGACAAGGUCGAAACCCAUGUCUCUGACAACGGUGAAAAGACAUUUGAGAAAGGCUGGUCUGAAGGGUUGUGUAUCUGCAAAAAAACUACUUCGUCCACAGAACAAGAAAAAGAGAUAUGAGUGGGCAAAAGCUCACAAAAAUUGGACUUAUGAUGACUAAAAACAAGUUUGAACUGUUUGGUUCAAAACGCAGAGUCUAUGUCCGCAGACAAACUGGUGAACGUCUGAAAACACCAUGUGUGGUAGUUCCAUGGUAUGGGGAUGUUUUGCAGGUGACGGAGUAGGAGAUUUGUUUGAAGUAAAGGGUAUCAUGAAGAAGGAACAGUACCACUCCAUCCUCCAGCACCAUGCUGUUCCAUCUGGACUCAGACUUGUGGCUCAUAAGUUUGUUUUGCAGCAAGACAAUGACGCAAAGCACUCUUCCAAGCUCUGUCAGGGUUACCUAGACAAAAAAGAAGAGGAAGGUGUUCUUCAAAAGAUGGUUUGGCCCCCUCAGUCUCCAGACCUUUCUCCAAUUGAGCUUGUGUGGGAUGAAUUGGAUCGAUCGGUCAGAAAAAUGCUUCCCACGAAUCAGCAGUCCCUUUUUAAUUAAAGAAAGCGUGGAAUGAAAUCCCUGGAACAUACCUUAAAAAACUUGUGGAACGAAUGCCUGGUAUAUGCCAAGCUGUUGUUAAAGCCGGAGGAGGUUACUUUAAAGAAAGUAAAGUCUAAGCAACAAUAACUCAAAUACCUAAUAAUUAUAGUCAACAUGUCUUCUGAUAAAUUACUCUUUGCACAAUAGUCAUGUUUAUUGUAUUGCAAAUUAUAUAUAUGAAACUAUGAUCUUUUUUUGUACAAAUCUGAUCUUGCUUCCAAACUUUUGGCCAGUAGUGUACAUGGCUCUGAUAUGGGGCUUGAUCUGGCCUUAAAUCUAGGAAAUCCAAAUUUGUGAUUAUUAUACCCGGUAUGUAUUGAUUAACAUAUUUGCGACCAAAGAUGAUACAUCACCCUGGUUAAUGCUUAUGGUAAGAGGUGAUGUGAAGCAGACCCAAAUCUGAACUAAUUGAUUCAAAAUGUUGAUUUAAAUAAGUUUCUUAAUGUUUUUAAAAAUGAUAUGUUUAUCCUGCUUCAAAAAAAAGUCCAUCUGAAUUCAUGGUUAGUCACGCUACUGUGGGCAAAUGUUAGCAGUAGCUCAGCUUGGAGCCUUUUAUGUACUGCCGUUAGGGUUGAAGCCCAGAAGUGAAAAUGUGUUCAGCGUUUGUUGUUUGAGAAGAAAAGACCUUUGCCAGGAAAAGCCUCAUGGUCUAAUAAUGGAGCAGUUCGAAAACUAAAAGGUUACAGCUCUACUUAUAAAAUCCAAUCUGACUUUUGUCUUUCACUCGUGUUUGAGUCUGCAGACUAGCUCACUGUGUGAUUCUGCGGUCACAGUUUUAUGGUCAGGUUUAGUUUUCACGAGUAUCUAUUGAGAAAGGAUACUUUGCUAAGUCAUGAUUGAGUUGUCGUGUCUAUUAAGAGUGCAGUAGUGUGAUUUAACAUGACUAGAGGAAACAGCUCUUCACAGCUUUAAAAGUCCUUGGAUCAAUACGGUGCCAACAGUUUCUGAUCAAUGUGGCAAUGGAGUCGAGUUUCAGGUAUAGAGAUGCAGAAAGACAACCAGGAUUUCUCCAGAUUUGUGAAAAAGCUGCUUUUAUGAUUGUUGACGUUCAGCAAUAAUCCUCCUUUUUUGUAUGGUAAAAUGGGAGCAAUAAAAUUUCAGAUUCCUAAGUGAAAGCAGAACAUAAGUUUGUUAAGUUUUUAUUUAAUAAUUUACGUUUGUUGAGUUAGAGCAAUUGCAGCAGCUGUUACAUUGAUCUUGCCAAUAUUCUGCAUUUUGGCUUUAACAGAAGAUUUUGUCCCUGUUCCCAAUAAAGCUUUUAUGAGCUCAGCAUCUUCUCACUUUUGUUUAAAUCUUACAAUAGGCUAUUCUUUUGCAGUAAAUAUGUUGGUAUUCUUUACAUUUGAACUUGUGUCCUGGGAACCAAAUGCAGCUUGCACAAAGCAGAAUGACCUCAGAGAUUUACUAAAACACCGGGCUUUCUGGUGUGGGGGAGUUAGAGAGGAAGCCAGGAUGGCUGGGAGCAGGUAAAAAGCAGGCUGACGGUGAAGUUCAAGGUGAACAAAAAACUCUGAAAAAUACCAUCAGGCAAAAUAAGAACAAAGCAACUGGGAACAGGGUGACUCGAAAUAAGCUGGCAGUGGAACAAAAGGAACAAAGUGAAGUUAGGGACAGGAGGGGAGCCGGGUGAAUACGUUGCAGGGACAGUCAGGAAUGAAGCAGAAAAGUCAGAGACCUGUUGGAGAUGGGUGGAAAGAUUAUUCAAAGAGGUGUGGGAUUUGGGUACACACUGAAGAGGAAUAUUAUCGACAUGGAUGGCCUCUGUCUCCAAUAUCCAGUGCUGAUGGGUGCUGAUACACUAUCCUGGCAACGCUGCAUGUCAAAUUCAGCCAUUCAGGCCAAAUUCAACGAUUGGGGGCCAGCAGGGUCAAGUGUCUUGCCUGGAGACACUUUGGCAUGUGAACAGCAUGACCCCUGACCUUCGACAUGUUUUUUUUCUAUUUUCUACUCUGGCCCAUGUUUCAUCAGUCACAAUGGAUGGGACCAUCUGUAUGACCUACAGUAUAUCUGAGCCAAUUACCAGGGGGACUUCUAAAAGUUUUGGUUUCAGCUCAGAUGCUGUGCUGUCAGUGCUUUUAUACAGUCUAUGGAGGGGGGAGAAGAGGAGGUCGGACCUAUAAGUGUUUAGGUGUUUACAGUUCAGAGAGCACCGGCAUACUGCUAAUAGACUAAUGCAACACUCCACAUAAUCAUCCUCUCGCUAAUCUCACUACAAUUUCAGCCAUUAGCUUGCAUCAGAGAGAAGAACAAUUGGGAUGAAGUACUGACUGUAUUUAUAGGCUGUGACUUUCUGUAAUGGUGCAGAAAUGCUAAAUGAAGCUGUAAACGUUUAAAUGAACAGGCUGAUUCAGUUGAGUGGCACAGCAGAUACAAUUUCUCUCUGCCUCAAUAAGUCUUUCUUAUUUAUACUGAUGAGUUUCCCUGAUACAUGUCAAUGACAAUGUGACAUCCAGCUACUAGGAUUGGCAUCAGUUUCAUAUUUGGCAUUUGAUGUUCAUUACUGCUCUUUUUGUCAUUAGAUCUGUGUCAAAGCCUCAGUUCAGCAAUACAUUACAGAGCAUAUUCAGUAAAACCAUUUGUAGUUUGGUUCAGCUCUUUAUCAGCGAAGAUUACCAUGCAGCUGUGUCUACAGAGACCUUAAUACCUGUCCAGUGUGGCUGUCACAGCUGACAGAGUUAAGGACUGCUCUCACAGUGCUGUAUAGCUGCUCUCUUUACAAACACAUACUUUUGUCUGAAGUAAAAGACAGAAAGUACAGCCAUUGUGGCCAUAGGGAGAGUGUUUUGUUUCUUGACUUGGAGUAAGGAUCGUUUCUCUAUAUUACCUUUUAUCCGUGUGUGUAAUGAAUUUUCCUCGCCUUAAUAUAUCAGCUCAGACAGCACAAUAGCAUUGAAUUGUUGGGGGAGUCUCGGCUGAAUAAUGAGGCAAGAAAUGCAGAUAUUACACAAGUAAAAACAUCGAGAGUGAAAUGUUGCAUAAUUCAACACUAGGUACAACCUUCAUCAAUUUCUGAUCUGCUAAAUUUUACUGGGUUAGAGAGGACAAUGUUAAGACUCAAAGUAAUGAAUAAAGUAUUAUUGAGUAAAAGUUAAUGAUUAAAACUGAAGUGUUUUUAGUUUUCAUCAACUAGAAUUAGACUAAAAGGCAAAACAAACUAUAAUCAGACCAAAACUAAGAUGAAUUUAUAUAAUAAUAUUAUACAAUAGUAAAUUUUAUUUGUACAAACGGAUCAAAACAGAUGUAACAUGCUUUACAAACAUAAAAAAAACAGUCUAGCUGCUGAAUUUUUGACUAAUUGGAGGUGACAUCACAGUUUUUCUAAAAACAUAAAUUAUCUUUUGUGUGUCAUUAAAGGUUAGUAUGGAUCCCUUCUUAUGGUAUUUGGGAGAUGAUAAAAGUAUGAUUGAACAACUGUGUUUCCAUAUGUCUAAAAAGUGAGGCUGCUGUAAAAAGUAACUCAGAUAUUUAGAACAUUUAAUGUUACAUUAAGAGAGAGAGAGAGCCAACGGAGGACAGAAUUUUGGGUUGUAACUUCAUCUGCCUGAUAAUGAGUUUCAAUUUGGUCUGGGUUUCAAUUUAAAGAAAUUUGCUGCCAUCCAGCUUUUAAUAGCAGUGAAACAGUUGGAAAGGUCUUUUUAGUUGCCUGGAUCGACAGGCAGAUACAGCUGAGUGUCAUCAGCGUAGCAAUUACAUUAAAUAUGGUAUCUCUGUGUAGCAGUAUGAUAUGCUGCUCUGACUGAAUGCAUGCGAGCAUGCCUUUUCACCCCUGCAGGGUGGCUGGACUCCGCCUCAGAGAAAGGGUGAGAAGUGCAGUCAUCCAGGAGGGCCUCUGAGUAGAGCCGCUGCUUCUCCACAUUGAGAGGAGUCAGAUGAGGCUGGUUGGGCAUUUAACCAAGAUUCCUCCCCAUUGAUCCCUUGGUGAGGUGCUCUGGGCAAGUCCCACCAGUAGAAGACCAAGGGAAAGACCCAGGACACGCUGGAGAGACUAUAGGCCAAUCCCAGCUGUCAUUCUUUGCCCUUCCCCUUUGUCUAUCCCUACCCUAUAGCCGCCUGUUUUGAUGGCCAAGGGAAAGGGGUGAAAACCCGCCCCUAAGAAACAAGACGCCACUUGAUUCUCACAACUUCAUCAUGCCUUGCCGCUGGCUGUGUUGUAGGCCAAUGCCUACUGUUGUAACGUUUUACUGUUGUUAGCUGUUAUGGGUAAUAACAGUUGAAAAUAUCGCAAAAUACGUUCUUUUACUCAUGCAAGAGCAUACAUAAAAGCUCCUGAUGUUCUACCUUAGAGGUUAUUAAUGUACUGGAUGUAGCUUAGCUGUCUGAUCAUUCUGUCUGAUCAUUUAUGAAAUUCAGUACACUUUAGUGAAGUCUGUCUGCUGGGAAUUUGUCACCCGAGUCUGACAUUAGUGUAGCCAUCAAUAGCUAUAGCUUGGUCAGCUAGCUUGUCAUAACACGGAAUUUUAAAAUGCUAACAAUUCAAAAGAUAGCUAAUACUUACAUGCAGUAACAAAGGAUAUAAUAUCUGAUAAAAAAGUAAAUAAAAAUAAGUAUCAUUACUGUAAAAAUCAUAUCACACACAAUCUUACCCCUUGCUUCCAAAUGAGGUCCCAGUUUGUCUUUUUUCAAGGGCUGUGUACCCCUUGCCCAUAGCCCUUCCCCUUAACCUUGCUUGAUGUGAACUCGCAAAACCAAAGGCUAAGGGGUAAGACAAGGGCUAAGGGGAAAAUUGGGAUUGGCCCUAUGUCUCUUGGGUGGGUUCCUCCGGGAAGAGCUAGACAAAAUGGCUAUUGAUAGGGAAGUCUGGGCUUCCUUGCUUCCCAAGACCUGACUCUGGAUCAGCGGUAGAAGAUGGAUAGAUGGAUGAAUCUUGCCAGUGUUCAGAAGUAGUUUGUUUGAAGAAUCUCAUCAUAAUGUACACACCUCGGCAGUAGCCCUGGUGGCCCUUUAGGAAUUUCACUGGGGGAAUUUUCUAGUUGUUCUCAACACUGAAUUUACUUGUUAUUUAAGAAUAAAAUCUGAAUGGUUGAAACCACGUCCAACAAACGUGUGUCCAUACGGGUUCGGCACAAUACCUGCUUUAGUUUGUGUUAUGCAGCUUGCUAACGUGUUACACUGAGAAGAACUAAAGUGUGAAUAAAGCUGAAUCAUAAUCAUCACUGCUCCACAAACAUCAUCAAACUUCACCUUCAGACUCAUAGAAACACAAGCACAAACCGUUCCCUUGUGCUCGGUUGCGAAUUAUGAGAGCUUUGAACCCUCUCAGAAUAAAUUGGGUUGCAGUCAAUACGAAACACUGUUAUUCUGACACAUUUUAACUCAGGCAGAAAAUGUGAAAGCUGUUGAAACAUUAUCUGAACAGAAACUCAAACCCAAAACAAAAUGAUUAGCAGAAGAAACAGAAAAUGGACAGGAGGCAGAGCUAUGUUUUUUUUUUCAACAACAGGCGCUGAGUCAAAUGGGACAUGAGCCAGAGGAGCAGGAUCAUUAAACCUUCCUUUAUGCAGGAGAUCUCAAUGAGACAUGGGUCUAACUUUCAAGAGAGACCUAUGAUCCAUGACAUCCACGAUAUCUGUAAGUCCUGUCAAGUUUCUGUCUGAUAAUCGUUGAAGAUACAGGCUGUGAAUCUGUGAAUUCAAACCGAAGUAAACCAUUUGCAGUGGCUGCUGGCUGUUUAGUCGGGUCUGGAUAUGCAUUAUCACAUGCAUUCAUUAGUUGUUCAGGGUUUUUGCUGUUGAGCUCAUUUGUUAAUGUUUUGUUGUAGUUUUCUGUUCCUGCUCAUUCUGUUCUUGUGCCAAUUUGAAGCAGUGGAGACACAAAUGCAUACUAAACUCCUUAUUGAUAUUCAAAACAGUGUGUUACAUUAGCGCAAGCGAACUUACACAUUCCCCUCUUUGUGUUUGCAAACGCAACACUGAGCCCUGACAUUAUGGUAAAGGUUCAUGUUUUAGAUAUUUAAAUGAAUACAUUAAUUAUCUUUCUUAGCAGGAUUUUCGCUGCAUCCCUCAUAUAUGCUGGUCUUCAAACAGUGCAAACAGGGUAUACAGCUUAGCUUUGACACCCCCCCAAUACAUACAUUAACUCAUGUUUUGAAUAUUAAAUAGAGUCGACUAAAAAAAAAAAAAUAGCUGGGUGUUUUUUUCCACAGAGCUUAUCUAAUGUUCCUGUCAGAGAGCAAAAUUAGUGAUCCCACACUAGAAGCUGUUUCUCACAUCUUUCAGCUCAUUUUUGUAAUCACUUACUCCACAUUUUCCACCUCUUUACUUUCGGUGGUACCAUCUAUUUUGCCCCUCUCCCCUAAAGCACAUUCAGUCUGCUCUGCUCUCCCAGCACUGAGUGAAGGACACAGAGGACUGCCAGUCUGGUCCUCAUUAUAACAAUAUGUGUGAUACCUUUUACAGUUGUCAGAGUGAGGGGGUAAAUCUGGCCGCACUGCCCCCUCUGGCAGGAGGCCUGUCACAUCAAUGACCAGUGCUUCUUUCUGAUUCGCUGUCGCCCACGGUAACAGACUGAUUCUAAUCUGUGCCUGAGCCCUCUGCACUAAGAUAAUUAAAAACAUCACUUUUACAAGCAGAACACACAAAAAUCUUUUCCUUUUUUUUGAAGCAUUUCAUUUUUUUUUUUUUUUCCCCCUUAUUGUUGGUUGACAGGUAUCACAGCUUUUAUAAAUACCCAACUCAGGAUGUGACAUGAUGAUGCAUGCAUCAGGAGAAAAUUGAAGGGAAAGUGACAGUUCUUACUUCAAUUCUUUGGAGAUAACUGCAGUGUUUACGGGUAAACCGUCAAAUAAUGCACCUGACAUUUCAGGGCUUUAGUCAGUUUAGGGACUGCAACAGUUGGGAAAUCUUAUUAAUGUUUGCUGUAAGCCUCAAUGAUUAUGAAAUCACAGAGGAUUAUAGAAAAGUGUUCACAAGAAUGUCAGUAAAUGUUAAUUGCAUCCAGUGGGAAGAGAUAUAUUAGAUGGAGACCAAAAUACUAAAAAUGCAGUUCAUAAAACAAUGACAUACACCUCCUGACAGGGCUCAUAACCAACACUGUAUAUCAAUUUAUUGAUCUAUCGAUAGCCCAAUCCCCACACUGCUUCAAUUUACUAGAUUGUAUAUCACACUUACACACAAACAACUUCAGGCAGGUGCAAAGGCGAGCACGCACACACACACAAAUACAAGCACACACACACACACACACGAGUGUGCACACAAACACUUUAUAUCUCUCCCACGCACACACAGAUGCACACAGUGACAGGACUGACUAACAUAAUUCACCAGGUGGGAGGAAAAAUGCUCUAUAACAAAAAUGUCAAGGUGUUUUAAGAAUGAAAUAUGUUUGGGCACACAACAGCAGUUGAUGAAAUGUGACCUUGACUUCUUCUUUUUUCCAUUUUUGUUGCAUGGGAAUAAUGAAUAGUGCUGGGUCAGGAGAAAAGAGGAAAGGGAAAAAAGCAAAUAGAGGAGCCACAUUGAAACAUUUUUAUGGUUAUUAGAAUCAGUUGUCGGCACCAGGGAAUAAAAAAUGAGUUUUAAAUGUGACACUGUAUGCAUAAGUUGCUGGAUAACACUGAGAAGCAGCUAACUACUAACACAGAUCAUUCUCUGUUUAUAAUAACUCUUACUAAUUACUUUUCAGGAUCGAUGAAACCUGCAAAUUGAAUGGAACUGUUCUUUAAGCAGAAUUUAUAGCACAAUACAUAUGAGUGUGUGUGCCUGUGUAUGUGUGUACGAGAGAGAGAGAGAGAGAGUGUGUGUGUGUGUGUGUGAGUUUGUGUUAUCAGCCCACACUGCAAUUGACCCCUCUUUGGAAGUUUCACUGGGCGAAAUGUGAGUUUUAGGCAAGAAAAAAGAAGAAGUUAAUUAGAUGCUGAUCCUGUUGAGGACAUUUACCUUCAGAUAUUAUUUCUCAUAAUUAAGAAGUUCUUAACACAUCAACCCUAAUCAUCAAACAUGCACUUUGUUAACUCACUGAGGCUGUGUUUGGUCCAUGUUUGCUUGCUUUAAUAUUGAGGCUAAAACUAAAUAAAAAAGUAUAUUGCUCCAUGAAGAAUAGAUGUUUGCUUAAAGUUUGUGCAUGUUUGCCAUUUUCUUGCAUCAUCUCUUCUUUUAACAGCACUGUAAAUAUUUGAAACCAGAGAGACCAGUUUUUGGAGAUCUAAGACGCAUUUUUGUUCCUUUCUUGUCUGUUACAUUAUUCCAGUUGCUCAACGCUUGGAGUCUGCAGGAGGGCUCCUCUGCUACAGCGAUGUGUUGUUGUAAUGUGUGAAGUUGUUUGGCCUUGUCUCUCUGAAAUAUGCAGGGUCUUUGUUGAAAAAAAAGCAUUUUCUGGAAGGCAGCAGCAUAUUUUGCCCAAAACCUGUAUAUCUUUGUCAGGACUAAUGGUGCCCUACCAGAUGUGUACGCUCCCCGUGUUACGGACACUCGUGCAUCCUCACAUGUCAUCACAGAUGCUGACUUUUGAACCAUGUGCUGAUAACAAGCUGGGUGGUCCUCCUCCUCUUUAAGCCCAGUUUAUGCUGCAUUGGACCAACACUGCACCAGAUACUGUACGUCUGUGUAGCCGCGUCAUACACAGAAGCAAACACGUAGCCUGAAAUGCGCCUCCAUUAAAAUUUAACUACAUGUCAAAACAACAGAAACCUGAAGCCACCAUUCCUUGUCCUCUAUACCCUUAAAAUCCACCUUCAAAGCCUCUUUUUUUCAUAAGUACACAAACAAAGAGGGGAUUUAGCCAGAUCCGAAAUUGGCAACGUAAAACACACAAGUUUGUAGUGCUCACAAUGGUGUCAGCCACUACAGCGUUGCCAUGGUGUAGAGUCAAGGCAGAAGUAUAAAGCAGAUUUGAGAGCUGAGGACACAGUGUCCAUGAAUCAAAUCAAGAAAUAUCAAGAAAUUUUAGUUUUUGGUACCACAGGACAGUUUCUCUCAGUCCGUCUUACUGUAAAAUAGUUUAGGCCCAGAUCAGUCAGGCAGACAGUUAUUCGAGCUCAUACAUGGUUUCCUCUUUGCAUGCUACAGUUUUCACCUGCAUACGUAUUUGCAGUGACAGCGUUCACAGACAAAGGUAGUGCGGCGAUUUCCACUUCAGAGUCACGUCUGUUUUUCAUACAGUGCAGCCUGAGCAUCUUUGAAGCUGUGUGGUGAUCACAGCCCUCUCUCGUCUUUUAUGUGGAGGGGACAUUGGUCAUGAUUAUGAAAAAAAGGUGCUAUUCAAAUUCCCACCCCACAAGACUCUUUUCUCACUCUUCUUUACAGGACUUGGGCUCGAAAAGAUUUAUUGAUGUUUCUGGUUCCUGUUUAUGAAUGAUUAAGUCCUGAGGGCUCAAAGAUCACGGCCAUGGUAUUAGUUUUUUAUCCUCCUCAUUUUUGUACAAAAAUUUCUCCAGAUUCUCAGAAUCUUUAAUGGCUGUGUAAAUAUGUACAACAAGUGAAGAAAUACCGAUAACAAAUUAUCAAAAUAUGACUUUGGUGUCCACCCAGACACAGGAUUGUUGUGUGUCUCUUCCUUUGUCUUGUCCCCACUUAUCUAGCUGGCAUGAAUUCAUUAUGCUCAAACUCAGUUACACUAAAACAUUACCUCUUGUAUUCACCUAUCUGUUUUAUUUGAGGAGUGCUCUCAAGUUCGUCACAUUUCUUCGUUUGCUGCUAAUUUUGGUUAACUGUCUCCACACACCAAGCACGAGUAAAAUCAUUCCCACGACUAAAUUACAUGUUAAGUCAUGCAAAGAUGAUUAGACGCUCGUACUACUCUGGCGGCACGAAUGAUGCGAAUUUGGCGGGAGCUGAAAAUGUCUCAACUUGAGCACUUGACGUGUGAAAACAGACAAAGGACAAACUGCUCAUGUCGGUGCCCCAAAUUAUAUGAUACGUUUUCUUUCAAUUACCGAAACCGGAAUAAAUAGGAGCUCACCUGAAGGCAAGUGAGUGAGGAGGUCGGAUUACCUGAAAAGUUGUAAAAAAAAACCUUUGUCUAUCACUUGAUCCUGCUGGUUGAAUUGGCAGGGAUUACCGUUAGAAUUACUGUUGAUGCAUGAAUGAAGUGAGUACAUACACUUGGUGUGAGCGCCACAUUAGAGUCCCCACCAUGACCCUCUCUCCUAGUGACUCCAUUAUAGGCCCUGUGUGUUGCCCUUUCUCUGCCCAUUUCUCUGGCUCCUUCACCUAAUUCACCUCACCUCUUCUAAAAUACCUACCACUUUCCCCCUCCCCUCAUUCCCUCCCUUCUUUUCCCAAUCAAAUAUCAUUUCCCUAUGGGACCAGGACCCUACCUCAUAAAAGAGUCAUCAGCGGUGCGUAGGUCUUAUUAACAAGCAAUCUGUUUGAGCAGCCAGCAAAAAGGUCAUGGCAACAGCUAACAAGGGACAGAGGGAGGGUUAAGGGCUAGUUUGAAAUAGGGAAUUUAAAAUUGAAAGUAAGAGGGCACAAAAAACUGAGAGAAACUUAAAGAGGGGACCAUUUUUAUCAUUACACAGAGCACACAAAUUAAUUUCAAAUACACUGGUACAAAGACUUGGCUGUUUAAUAAUACAAAAAGUGUAUUUUUGCCAAAGACAGCAGCAUUUUUAGAGCCAUAAUCUCAGGUGCAAGAUCUAGACAGAGGUCUCAACUGAGGUCUUCUGAAUCCACAGUCUAGUUCAAUGGGAAAGUGAUUUGUGAACACUCACAGCCAUCAAAUCCUAUUAUGGCCGCUGCAAAUUCUCUCAUAAUGACUUUACGGAGACAUCCAAUGGUAAAAUCAAUCAUAGAUCCAUGCACUUAUUGAGAAGCCAUCAGAGCCGGAGACGAAAGUAAGGUGAGAGGAUCAAUGUGGUAUAGCAACAGUGAAACGCACAUUGGAGGGUAGGGUGGCAGUGGGCUGCUGAAGAGGUCAAUGGAUGGCCCGUGCUGGAGACAAAGAGAAGUGAAGCCGAUGAUGAGAUGGACUUUUACUGUAGCAACAGGGUGAAUCAAUAUCCCUCCAAAAAUGAUGGCGUAGUGGGUGUGCUUUGACUGCGGGUCUGUGUUCAUGAUAACGCUCCCAUAACAGUGAUGUACAAGCAUAUGUGCUGGUCUUGGGCACAAACAUGUCUGUCCAGCUGGCCUUGAAAAAGCUGCGGGGUGGGCAUGUCCUCCAAGAUUCUUGGAGUAGAAAGCAGAGCCUGACAUCAGGUUACCUCCAAGUAUUGUGAGGUUCUCAGAAUGAGUUGUUCAGAGAAGCAGGAAAAUACACAAAUGUCCAGAACACAUGAAAUACAGAUCGGCUUGUUAAAAAUCAUAGACAUCUUUACCCUUAUAUGAUCUUGACCAGUUUGGAGCCAUAAUAUGACACCCAAGGUUGAACUGAUUUUAUGUACACUCGUGGGGAUUGACAUAAUUUGAAAUAAUGAGUAUUAAACAUAUGUAAUAGAUAUGUUCACAUGUCCUAUUGUGUACGGGGGGAACCCAAGGACAAGCUGACAAAAGAAUAGGCCUGGGAUGAUCACAAAUUUUGCUAGACGAUAUAUUGUCCCACAAAUUAUUAAAGAUAAAUGAUAUUAUUGUCAACAUUAUUGAGACCGAAAUAACCAGUUAUGUAAUGCACAUAUUUUUUUAGAGGGCAAUUCGUAUUGUUGGUCAAAAGUUUGUAUCGUUUCUCAAAACGCUGGCUUUUCAACCAUACAAAAUGGCAGCAUUUUGUAGGCAAUGUAGCAACUACACUUUAUGAGUGCACACCAUUAUGCACUGUUCCAACUGUACUUGCUUUGUCAACCAAACGCUUUAUAAGGGUUGACUGUUGGGUCGACGACUCUGCAUCUCAGGGUGCAGUUUUUUUCUCCAGCUGGGAAAACUUGACCGGGUGAUAGUGUUUGAGGUGGGCAUGCAAGUUUGUUGUGUUUCGUUUUUUUGUUGCUAUAAUUUUUAUACCAAGCCGGCACACUGGCUCAUCUGUGUUGAUGCUCCCACCUUGCUUAUUGGGCUUGAAGCCGAAAUAUUCCCACAUCGGGGCUGUGGUAUUUCGCUUUGCAAUAAGCUCUUCCAUGCUCCCGCUCACUAGCUACUGCGGUCUUUGUAUGCUCCACGGUGCCUCCCCCCACAGAUACAAAGAUCCUGAAUGUCUGACAAGAUGGUUCACUUCCUUCAUUUCAUUCCGCUGAGGCACCAACGUACCGAGGUGCUGAGACCAAUGCACAGAGUGAACCCUCUUGUCAUCAGGCGUGUUUGGAGAUGCAAGACAAGGAAAACAAAUACAAACAUGCACAUGGCGAUAUAUUGAGUCCAGAAAAAUUAUUGAGUUCAUUUUAUUUAUUGUUGUUUGAUUGAAUGAUUUAUUGAUUAUCAUCCCAGGCCUACAAAAGACGGACCCACAAUAAAGCCAGGUUAACAGUGGUAAACAUGAGGCAUAAAAUCAGAUCAGAAACAGAAGACCUACUUGUUUGUUAGUCGCAACAAUCUAAACAUUUGAAAAGUCCUGCUUAACAUACCACAGUAAAACUGAAAGUAGAAGAGGUGCCUACAAAUUUCCACUAUCAGGGACAAACUUUGUGAAAUUAGCAGCCAACAAUAUUAAGUUAGACAGACACCUCAUUAUCAUCCAUGUUUGUUUACUAUACAGGCAUGUUUUACGGUUUCAAUAAUCUUUUAAUGUUGGCCAGGCUUACUUACCUCUUCAGCUUUCAAGGUCAGAAGAGGCCAUCGCAUUAAGCAGCAAAAGAUAUUAAGAGAAAAUCUCCAAAACCUUAACAGCUGGAGUCAUUUCAGUGUUGAUUGUGUUUGAAAUUAUUGCUUUCUUUGAUUAAAACACUGCAAAUACAGCUGUGCCCCCAGCUGGCUCCUGCAAGUGCCAAACUUGUAUACAUUCAAUACAACACAUGAAGCCAAGAAGAGCAAUACUGUGGAGAAGUGUGCACAAGACUGCAGAGUGUGCUAUUGCGUUGCGAUGUGUGUGUUGAUGGAGGCAAUAACUAUUUAAUUAAAUUUACACCAGUUAAACCUGGUAAUUCAAGCAAACGGGGAGGGGGAGGGGCAUGGUAUUAAUAGAAAUGAUCACAUGAGGCAGCUGAACUAUGAUUUGAUCCCAUUGGAGUCACUAAUACAUAUGAGUUCCAUCAUCGUGUAAGUUUCUCUCGAUCACUCCUGCAGAUGUUUUUCUGUUGUAGUCCUGCCUGCUUUCCAGAUGCUUCAUCUCCCUCUCUCCCCUCUUUAAACCCUCUCAGUCUCAGCAGAUGACUGUCUAACAUUAGUCUGGUUCUACUCGAGGUUUCUGCCUGUUAAAGGAAGUUCUUCCUCUUCACUGUAACUUGAUGAAUGUUGUGAAGCUUUACAUUUAUGUGGUUGAAGGUGGGGUGGAAAGGGGUCUGAUCCAUAGACUGUAUAUAGAAUGGACGCCGUCUGCCUCCUCGCUGGGUGAAGCCACCCCUAGAACAGCACCCUCUGGUGACGGGCUGCAGUAUAGGUCAUAAAUCCUGCCUUCUCCAGCCAUCCCUAUAGAGCUGUGGGCAAACUUUAGAAAUUUAUUACACAAAAUAUACAUUUUUCUCCCCCUGCUUGCGAUGUUGACAUGUAGUUACAGUGAGACUGGUUUUUCUGCUCAGGUCCUCUUUUUUCUGUGCAGCUCUACUUUUAAAAGUUAUCAGGGGGUUCAUGUCCUCUAUGAUUGACACUUGAUACAGCAUAUGGUUGUACAAAGAUUGCAUAGCUUACCUGGGGGAUAUGCUGUUUGAGCCGAGCGUCAUCACAGCAACUCUCAGAGACUCUUCCGCCAAAUGCAAACAAUGCAACUGCGCAAGUGGUGGAGUGCGUACAACGUUACUGAGCAAUGUUGGUUUCAGGCAGUGUUGUUUUUGGAAGGAAUUUUAGAUUUAGUUUUAGUCUUAGUCAUUUUGACAAAAUGCUUCUUCGUUUUAGUCCCAUUUUAGUCAUUUCUAUCCUUGAUGGUUUUAGUCUAGUUUUAGUCGAUGAAAAGGUGCCUUUUGAGGUUUGUGGUGUUCUUUCCCGACAGUUUGAAGCCGCAGCGUGAGGAAGCUGUGGCUCCACAACUGUCUUCUGUCUCGUCUCCCCGUCCCCGUAUAAGACAUUGUGUUUUAUUGUCACUUGGACUGUAUCUGAAGUAGGACCAUAAAUCAUCCCUCUUUUUUUGGCCAACGGGCACCGCUGCUGUGCCUGCCGCCAUGGUGUGUGUGUGUGUGUGCGCGCCUCGUCCACCUGCCGCUCUGUGUAUGUGUAUGAGUGUGUGCGCGCAAAUGUGCGCGAGCGAGGCUUUUGGUGCGUGUGUGAUGGGGGCGUGACUGUUAGGACAAAAAAAAGCAUGUUUUGAAACUUUGUUCGUCCACCUAAUAACAAUUUAGUCUCGUCUCGUUCUCGUCUGACGAAAAUGAAUACAAUUUUCGUCACAUUUUAGUCUUUACAGAGCUUUGGUGACGUUCGUCUUAGUCUCAUUUUCGUCAAGGAAAAAAAGGGGUCUGACGUCGUCAUUUAAGUUGGUUUCAGGAAGUGGAGAAAAAACCUGGAAAAACAGAGAGCUUUUAGGCUUCAAAGUUGUCCAUGGUAUAUACAGUCUAUGGUCUGAUCUCACAGUACUUUGGGUCUUUCGAAACAGAAUCAUGUCAAUACCACCUUUUUUUGUUAAGCCUCUUGGGAUAACACUUGUGUAUUGGAGCUUGAUUGAUUGUUUGAUUGAGAUUUGAUUGAAAUGAAACUUCUCAUUUUUCUACAGUCUUUGCUCGCUGAACCGGGAAACUGAUGGUGGGGCAUGAGGAGUCGAAACAUGCAAUCAACACCAGAUGUAGG